UGCGCUUAGGUUUAGACCGGCGUGCUGACCUCUUUGUUGUGCCUAGGUGGGGCUGCGACGUGUUGAUCUUCCGCGGUCGGGCAUGACCCAGAAAAGUGUGUCCGGCCAAAUGGGAUCGAGCGUGUCGGGUAAUGUGGUGCACCCCUGUAGGGAAGUUGAUCUAUUCGAAUAGCCGUGUCCACGGUAACAGGCGACCCGGAGUUGUACCUUGACCUUAUGACAACUAGAACUGGAUACUUAAUAAAACACACCCUUCCAAGUGCCAGAUAUAACCCGGUGAUCACUCUCUAACAGGGCAACGAGGAGGGGAUCGCCGGGUAGGUUUAUGCUAUGCGAUGCUACUUGGAGGACUUCAGUCUACUCUCUUCUACAUGCUGCAAGACGGAGGCUGCCAGAAGCGUAGUCUUCGACAGGAUUAGCUAUCCCCCUCUUAUUCUGGCAUUCUGCAGUUCAGUCCACUGAGAUGGCCCUUUACACAUAUAUCCAUGCAUAUGUAGUGUAGCUCCUUGCUUGCGAGUACUUUGGAUGAGUACUCACGGUUGCCUUGUUCCCCCUUUUCCCCAUUUCUCUACCCGAUUGCUGCGACCAGAUGAUGGAGCCCAGGAUCCAGACGCCACCUUCGACGACGAUUCCUACUACUCUGGAGGUGCCUACUACUACGUGCAGCCCGCUGACGACGACCAGGAGUAGUUAGGAGGAUCCCAGGCAAGAGGCUUGCACCUCGUUCGAUCUGUAUCCCCGUUUGUGCUAGCCUUCUUAAGGCAAACUUGUUUACUUAUGUCUGUACUCAGAUAUUGUUGCUUCCGCUGACUCGUCUAUGAUCGAGCACUUGUAUUCGAGCCCUUGAGGCCCCUGGCUUGUAUUAUGAUGCUUGUAUGACUUAUUUAUGUUUUUAGAGUUGUGUUGUGAUAUCUUCCCGUGAGUCCUUGAUCUUGAUCGUACACGUUUGCGUGCAUGAUUAGUGUACGAUUAAAUCGGGGGCGUCACAUGGAGCCUGUUUCAAACCAUACAGAGCUUUAUCCAACUUACAGACAUGAUUUGGCAUGCUUCGAUUCUCAUAUCCAGGUGGCUGCCGCAUGAAUACUUCUUCCUCAAGAACACCAUGAAGAAACGCGUUCUGAACAUCUAGCUGUCGUAAACUCCAACCUUUGGAAAUAGCAAUAGACAAUACAAGUCGAAUGGUAGCCGCCUUAACAACUGGACUAAAUGUAUCUUCAUAAUCAAUACCAAAUCUCUGUUUAAACCCUUUGGCAACUAACCUAGCCUUGUAUCUGUCUAUGCUUCCAUCAGAUUUUCUUUUUAUCUUAUAGACCCAUUUGCAAUCUAUGACAUUGCUGCCCUUCCUUGAGGGUACUAAGUGCCAAGUUCUAUUUUUCAUGAGCGCAUCAUAUUCAUUAUCCAUAACUUCUUUCCAUUCUUUAUGAUCUAGAGCAUCAUGCAAAUUAACUGGUUCUCCAACACUAGUAAGAAAAGCACUUCUGACAGGAUCAUAUCUUACCGUACCAUCAUUGUACUCUUUAUUUUUGACAAUACCUGACUGUGAUUGAGUGUGUCGACGAGGAGCCUGAGAGCAAACUGCUGAUGUAGGCACAGAAGAUUCAAGAGCAUUUGGAGACGCAAAAUUAUCCACAGAAAAUCCUGGCACCAGAUCCAAGGACGAUUCUGCACCUGCUUCUGAUCCUGUCGGCACAGGCGCAGGCGAUCUCCUAUCGCCAGCCGAAUCAGCCAUCGCGUCCCGCGCCUCGUCAUCACGCGGACAAGUGGCGCGCGGUCCGCCCGCGCCUGGGCUGGCGGGGUCCACCUGGUGGGGGCUGUCGGCCACGCGCGCGCAUGCACCCGCGCCUAGGCUGGCGGCCUCAGCCAACCGCGCAUCGGGACAGGCGGGGUCCAACCGGUUGGCCAUUGGCGUGCGAGGAGAUGCAUGCAGGGGAGAGCUAUCCUCCUGGGAUCACGCGCCGUCAGGUGCAGCAGCUCUGACACGGGGAUCAGCAUGGGAUCCGGCGCCGCUGCCAGCCGAAUCAGUGUUGGAUCCUGUGCCUUUUUCGUCCGGACCUGCACACAUAAAAUGACGGCCAGAAUCUGCAGAAAAACAAUUUUCUGUGGAUUUUUUCACAUGAUCAGCUUUAGUUAAUUCACCCUCGUGAUCAGGAAGAAGGGCUAUUUCAGCACGAAGGAGAGCGCCUGCAUUUGGAUGAAGCUUGGCGAAUGGAAAGAGAUUUUCAUCAAAAAUAACAUCUCUAGAAAUAUAAAUACGUCCAGUAGCAAUUUCUAGGCACUUGUUGCCUUUGUGGAGAUUGCUAUAGCCAAGAAAAACGCAUUGAGUAGAACGAAACUCAAGCUUAUGAUGAUUGUAUGGACGAAUAUUGGGAUAGCAUGCACACCCAAAAGUUUUGAGGGAAUUAUAGUCUGGUUUUUGAUGAUAAAGACGUUCCAACGGAGUAGAAUUUCCAAUAACUUUGCUAGGCAAACGAUUAAUAAGAUAUGUGGCAGUGAUGAAAGCUUCAUCCCAAUAUUUAAGAGGCAUGGAGGCAUGAGCAAGUAAAGAGAGACCAACUUCAACAAUGUGGCGAUGUUUACGCUCGGCAGAGCCAUUCUGUUGAUGAGCAUGGGGACAAGACACAUGGUGUGCAAUGCCUAUACUAUGAAAGAAGGAGUUGAGCUUCUCAUACUCCCCUCCCCAGUCACUUUGGACUGUCAAGAUUUUUCUGUCAAAGUGUCUUUCAACAAGUUUUUGAAACUCUUGGAAUAUAGAGAAGACUUCAGAUUUAUACUUAAGUAAAUAAAUCCAAGUAAACUUGCUAUAAUCAUCGAUAAAACUGACAUAAUAUUUUUUUCUGCCAAAAGAAUCUUGGGCAUGUCCCCAUACAUCACUGAAAAUAAGCUCUAAAGGAGCAUGAGAAACACUACUAGACUUAGGAUAGGGAAGUUGGUGACUCUUGACACAUUGACAAGCUUCACAAACCGAAUCACUAAUAGGACUAUGUGACAAAGAAAGUUUGCCUUUAUUGACUACUUGCUUAACUAUGACCGAGGAAGGAUGUCCUAAACGUUGAUGCCACCUUGCCAAGGAGGGCUUGAUGAUGGAGUAGACCUGACGAUGCUUGCGACUAAGUGCUCCGGAUGUGAUGGGGUAGAGGCCGCCAAUGCAUCUACCGUGGUGUAGAAGUUCCCUCGUUGCCCGAUCCUUGAUAAAAAAGUAACGAGGGUGAGUUUCAAAGAAGACAUUAUUAUCAGUGGCUAAACGAGACAUAGAGGCAAGGUUUUUAUCGGCUUGAGGAACAUGAAGAACAUCUUUUAAGACUAGAUCACGUUUAAGCAUAGGGGAAUUAAUAAAAGCUUGACCAAUGUGUCUAAUAUCCAUACCUCCACCGCUUGCGGUGUGAAUCUGAUCAUUGCCGUGAUAUUUUUCAUGGAGAGCAAGCUGCUCUAGCUCACUUGUGACAUGAUCCGUAGCGCCGGAGUCAACAUACCACACUCCUCCUCCUUGAUCACGCAUAGCUGCAGCAACCUGACGAGAAUCUGGAACGAAGUCUUCAUCAUAGCGGUGCCAGCAGUCCAUGACCUCAUGGCCGGCCUUCUUGCAGAGUUGGCAGCGAGGACGAUCGCGAGAGGAGGAGGAGGGGCGGCGGCUAGUGUUGUUGUUGAAGCUACCACCCCCCUGUUCUGUUGGAGGAGUUGUUGUAGCUGCCGCCUCCUGUGUUGCCGUAGUUAUUGGUGUAGCCGCUGUCGCCCUGGGAGUUGCCGCGCCCGCGCCCACCGCCGCGUUGCGCGUGGUGACCGCGCCCACGGCCGCGUCCGCGCGAGGCGGCGUUGGCAGAAGAUUGGCGAAAAGCGGCGCCAUGAAGAAGACUGAGGCGGGCGUCGAAGCUCAGGAGCUGGCUAUACAGCUCCUGGACGGUGAUCGGCUCCACCCGAGUAGCAAGGGCCGAGACGACUGGAUUAUAAUCCAUGUCCAGUCCGGCCAAGAUCUUGGAUACGAUCUCCGGAUCGAAGAGCGCGGCGGCAGUGCAUGCAACUUCGUCGGUGAGGCUCUUAAUCUUGCCAAGAUACUCUGCCAUAGUCAUGUUACCUUUUUGCAGGUUCGUAAGCUCGAUGCGAGUGUUGAUGGCUUGCGCUUGGCUCUGGGCGGCGAACAUGUCGUGGAUGGCGCGCCAGACUUCUGCCGGCGUCUGGAGCGUGGCCACCUGUGCAAGGAUGUCGCGGGAGAGGGAGCCCAUCAAGUAACCUUGGAGUUGUUGCUGCUGUGCGUACCAGAGGGAUCUGGCAAAGUUCACCACCUGUUCUUCUUUGCCGUCCUUGGUAACGGUGAGGGUGGGCGGCGGCGCUGGGCUCUUCGCGUCAAGAUGGUGCUCCAUCUGCGCGCCCUUGAUCUGGGGUAGGACGACGGCCUUCCAGAGGAGGAAGUUGCCUCUCGUCAGCUUCUCUUGCGGCGGCGAUCCGAGGAAGGAGUUGGUGGGGGUGGAGGUGGACGAAGAUGCAAAGAUGGAGGAGGAGGCGUCGGUGGUGAGGGCACCCAUGGUGCUCGGCGUCAUGGCGGCGGAGGUGGUGGACAUAGUUGCGGUCGCCUGGGGUAGCUAGAUGCGAUCUCUAUUUAAUCUGUCGAGGAAGAGGCUCUGUUACCAUGUAAAACUAGAUGGAAGCGUUGAACCCUUUGCUUGGGCCGCGGUUGUAUAUAUAUGAUGUAUGCCGUGGCUUACAAGAAUAGAUCGAGAGGAGAUCAAUCAUAUUCGGUACAGGAGGUUUGAGGAGAUAGAGUAGAAGAAGAGAUAAGAAGAGAUACAAGUUAAACACCUUUUCUAUCCCUACACAACAUCUUCUAACAGUUAAGACUGCCAGCGUGUAAUACUUGUGUACAGAGCUUCAGUGUACUUGUUCAGCUGUACUUGUUCGUCUAUGAACGAAAUUGCAUUAUCAUGAACUUGUAUUGGUACGCAAAUAGUCGUUGGAAUUUCCAACUCUUCUGUGCAUGUUGCAUCAAACCUGUUCCGAUUUCAUCACAUUCUAAUAUUCCCUCCAAAGAAAAUUUCCAAAUCGCAGUACAACUAAAGAAGAAGCCGGUGACCAAGUCGGACUCAAACCAAAUCGUGGUGAUAUAUAAUGCAACGUAUCGUGGUGAGCAACCGGGAGAAAGAGAGAAGUAACAAGGGAAAAUAGAUUGCACCCAUGGCCAUGGACGGCGCGGGGCGCUUGGAGUUGCCCACGGACGUUCUGGUCGAGAUCCUCCUGCGGCUGCCGCCGAGCUCCCGCCGCCGGGUCCGCCUCGUCUGCAGGCUCUGGUGCAGCAUCAUCGACGAGCACACCACGGAGAUGCAGAGCCGCGCCACGGCCCUCCUCUGGCAUACCUGGUAUGGCAUCGCCUACGUCGUCGACGACCUGUCCAAGUCUUCGACGGGGCGCUACACACAGCUGUGGCCUCGGGACACAGCGGGACCGUACUUCCUCGACCGCGGUAGCCUGCAGCUGAUCGGCACGUGCAAUGGUCUUCUCUGCCUGUGCGACAACGAGGAGGCACCCGGCGGCGCCGUCACCCUGGUCAACCCGGCCACCGACGAGGAGCUGCCCGUCCCGCCGCUGCCUUGCGCAUGCCCGUUUGUCCCGUCUUUGGAGAGAUGCACCUACUGGGAGAACUGGCACAAGGCGUACCACCCUACGUCCGGGCAGUACAAGGUGGUGCACAUCCCAUGUAGCAUCAGCGAGGAAUACAAGUUCGACGCCUGCACGUGCUCACGCUAGGGGAGGCGUCGUGGCGGGAGGUUCCGGCCGGCCCUGCGGAGGGAGUGAGGUGUAACCUCGGCGCCGGCAUAGUCAGCGUCGACGGCACGACUUAUUGGGUCGUAGAGAAUGCCGGAGCGAGCUGGGUCGUGUCAUUUGACCUCGACAACGAGGCGGUCGCCCGUGUCAAGGGGCUGCCCGGGCAUCCCGCUGGGCCUGAAAACUACCACCUGACGGAGGUGCACGGGAGGCUGGGCAUUGUUGUCCAUGGCCUUUCGAGAAUGACAGAAGUGUGGGUUCUGGACAAGGGGCAGCGAAAGUGGAGCUGUCGGUACAACCUUACGCGGCAUGAGGUCACGCGGCCAUACUUCGUGUAUGGCGAGUGCAUCUUGACAUUGGAGGAGAGCUUGAUACGUGGGCACUACAGACAUAAAGGCAUGUGGGCAUCCAACAAGGCGGUGCCUGUGCGGGUCAGUCACCGGGCUCAUGGGACGCGGCUCGCGGUGAUAGAUGACGAAUGGUGCCAGACAUUGCCCUACGUCAAGACGAUGGAGCCACUUAGCAUUUAUAUGCUGCCAAUUGAUAACGCCUAAUGAGGAUGUUCUGUCUUUCCUUGACAAAUUAGUUCUUCUAAGACGGAGGAGAGGAGCCGCCCCUUGCCGUGUUGUUUUCUUUUUAGAAUUUGCUAUCUUUAGGAGAAUGAUUUUCAUUUUGGCUUCCAUCAUUUUUUUUUGACUCUUCUAUUUUUCUUCUCUAUUGUCCAUGUUUGUUGUUAGGUUUCUACUUAUUUUUAUAUUCUGGUCAACGGAAAUCCUAGAUUUACGGGCAGGUUCUACUCAGCUGCUUUGGUUAAGUCUAUUUGGUCCAUAGAGAAUCAAAUUGAUUUACCAAUAAGUGUCAAAUGCUAUGGUUCUUCCAUAUGACUUCUGAAUUCAUUCAGAAGUAAUUCGUCGAGAUCGUGCACUCUUUUCUUAUUUAUCUAAAGGACAGUGCUAAAUUCCACACGUACUGAAAUUAAGCAACAGAUCCGCACGAUUCCUCCCUAGCUUGCAUGCAUGCAUUAGCUUCAUCUUAUUUUCUUUCUUUUUUCUGUGCAUGUCCACUAUCCAUUAGCAGUUAAUUAGCAACUACUAAUCAUAUACAUGCAGGAAAAACGAAAUUGAUGAUGUCAUCAAAGAUUUUUUUCCAAUGCAAAAAUUUAAAAUAUUUUGUAGCUCAAACCGUUGGUCUGAUUAAAAAAUUGUUUUCCCAUAAAAGAUUCGUCUCGACGAGACCUUCGAAACUAGAUCCCAUGUUGGUAUAUUUCGAUGAUAUUUUUUUCGGGUCAAAAGUUAUCACGCGUGUGCUACACAAGUUAUCAUGCGGCUGUAUAUAAGUUAUCAUGUUAUUUAUACGAUAGUUCUUGUAUUUUUCUCUUCACAUGCACAUGGAUGCAUGCAUUAGAAGGGGGAAAAUGGAUGCAUCCUUGAUUCUACAUAUUUCAAAACUUUAAAAAUGUGAUAUAGAUCAAAGCGUCGGUCUGAUCAAAAAAAUGUUUUCACAUAAAAAAUCAGUUGCGACGAGACUUACCAAACUAGAUCCCAUGUUGAUAUGUCCUGGCGAUUUUUUUUCCGUGCAAAUAGUUACCAAGCCUGGGCUAAGUAAGUUAUCAGCUUAGAUGUGUGUCUACUAUCAUGUUAUUUACACAUGAGUUACAGUGGUACAUUUUCAACAACUAUUUUUUUCAGGACAAAUUUACCGCGGUGUUUGUGCGCGAGGUACCGUGUCUGUGGUUCAUAUAUUACCAUGCUAUUUAUGCAUAAGUUAUCGAGGUUAUGUUUUCAAACAACUUCCUCCCCCAAGGUCAAAGUUAUCAUGGUGUUUGUACAUGAGUUAUCAAGUCUAUGGUACGUAUAUUAUCUUGACAUUUGUACGGAAGUUAUCGGGAGGGGUAUGUUUUCAAAAUACUUUCUCCCCUCCCACCACCCCGGAAUCAAAGUUGCAGUGGUAUUUAUGCACAAGUUAUCACGUAUAAGGUGCGUACAGUACCAAGCUAUUUACACCAAAGUUCCCAGGUGUUUUUAAACACCUUCCCACAUCCCACACCCGUCACCAAAGUUACUAAGAUUAGGGUACAAAAGUUGUCAGAUUUGUGGUGUGUGAGUUACCGGGGGGUAUAUUUCAUCAACCCCUCCCCCCACCCCCCACCCCCCCACCCCCGAUCGCNNNNNNNNNNNNNNNNNNNNNNNNNNNNNNNNNNNNNNNNNNNNNNNNNNNNNNNNNNNNNNNNNNNNNNNNNNNNNNNNNNNNNNNNNNNNNNNNNNNNNNNNNNNNNNNNNNNNNNNNNNNNNNNNNNNNNNNNNNNNNNNNNNNNNNNNNNNNNNNNNNNNNNNNNNNNNNNNNNNNNNNNNNNNNNNNNNNNNNNNNNNNNNNNNNNNNNNNNNNNNNNNNNNNNNNNNNNNNNNNNNNNNNNNNNNNNNNNNNNNNNNNNNNNNNNNNNNNNNNNNNNNNNNNNNNNNNNNNNNNNNNNNNNNNNNNNNNNNNNNNNNNNNNNCCUCCCCUGGUCGCCAAAGUUACCAGGACUGGGGUCAUAAGUUAUCAUGUCUGCGACGUGUGAGUGCACAUAAGUUAUCAUGUCUGCCACGUGUAAGUUAUCAUGCUAUUCACACAAAAGUUGUUGUGGGGAUAUUUAAUCAACCCCCACUCCCCAUGCCAAAGUUAUCAGGACCGCGAUACAUAAGUUAUUAGGUUUGUGAUGUGUGAGUCACCAACUUAACAUGCUAUUCACAUAAAAGUUACCACGGUGAUCAGCCCCCCCCCCCCGGUGCCAAAGUUACCAGGACUGGGGUAUAUAAGUUAUUAGGUAUGCAAUGUGUGAGUUACCAUAAUGUUCACACAAAAGUUAUCGGGGCGUGAAAAUUUCCACGAUGUGAUCAACUCGAUACGAGUUGGUAAAACAAUCCAAGAAAAGAACUAUAUUUUUUGCAUUUUUUUCUCAUAUUGCAGGAAAAAGGUUCAAAUACCUUGUUACCAUUUUUUUAGAUAAGUAACAGUUGGUUAGAUGGCAAGAGUGAUGUGUAUAAGCACAACACGUGCUAGGUUCGAUUCCCACACCCACCAGUUAUAUUUUUCGCAUGCAGAUUUUUUGAGCGAGAGAGAAAAGAAGGGGACGCUGGGCCUGGCGUGCGAUUUCAUCGGGAGAGCGGCGGUUAAGUCAGGAAAGUGCAACGCAAAAUCAUCGCAAGAUCGCCAGCCCUGUCCGAUCGAGAAAUGGACGAGAUCCACAUCAUUCGGAUCUGUUGCGAGUUUUUAAUAGGUCAAAUUUUAGCUUUGUCGUAUCAAAAUACGAGCGAUGUGGUCUAGAAAGAUAACAACAACGAAAAAAAUGUGAUACAGAAAAAUGAAUAAAAUUCCGAAGAGAAUGAAUUGGGCAACGCUGAUGAGAAAAACACUAAGAGGCAAUCCUAGUAAAAAAUAUUUUUACACUAAUACAAAUGGUUUGAAUGGUAAAAAAGUCAAAUAGCUUACUAGUCUUCAUUUUGUUUACAGUAACUACAGUUUGAAUCUCGAUAUGGGAAUAAAAUAUUUUUCUCCCUCCCGCAAGUACUUGAAUUCGAGUGUUACAGUUUAUUUUUUCAGAAAAAAAACUCGAGUUUUACCAAUUUUUUCUUGAGAAAAAUUGCGAGUGAUAUCUGCACCAGAGUAAUGGACUACUUGAAUGAAUACAGAACACCUAGCGUAGUUAAAACACAAAGGGCAGUGCAGUUGGUCAGUGGGGAUGGCACAUUCGUCAAUGUAGACGUUCAGGUUUUGAUUUCGAGCGCUUUUGUUGCCUUUUUUUUUAUAAACAGAAACUAAAGUAUGGAGAUAGACAUCGUACGUGCCUAUUGCUAAUGUCCAGUCGGCAGGGACUUAACUUUCCCGUUAUCUAAAAAGAAAUAUAAAGUGCAACUUGAUAGAUCCAAUCUAUUCUUGGAAUAGACAACUGACACACACUCCCUUAAGAAACAAAAAUCGAGACACCAACCACCACAGUUAGUUUUUUUUUAAGAUUUGUAAACCGAUUUAUUGGAUUUGUUGGUAAAAAUAUUGGUAUUAAACCCGAAACUGUCAGCGGAUGGCCAGUGAGCUAAAACAUGAAAAUGGACUGUUUUUUUUCUUCUCUGUUGCACAUGUUAGUUGUUAGGUUUCUACUUAUUACUAAACAGUAUAACUCAACCACCUAUGAGCCACCACAGCGUUUUGGCGUCGUCAGCCGUCAGAUCAACCUACAGUAACGAAUCAGAUCGAGUCGUCGUCCCACCCAGCGCAACAGGUCAUUUUCACCAUGUCGCAAUCCAUUCAGCACACAUGUAGUCGGGCUGCUGCUCCACAGGCCGAGGUAGGGAUCACCUCGUUUGAUGGGCCGAUCAGCGGCCAAAAGCCCAUGUAGCCAGUUACGGGAUUCUUCCAUGUGUUUGGUGCGUACUCCACCAUCGAAAGAAAACCCUCAAAAGAAAAAAGAUGGCACAAUUCAGCUCAGCACCGGCGGCGGAUGCUAUCUCCGCUCCUCCCGGCCGCAUCGUUGGUCCAUCAUCCACCGGUAGAUCUCUUAUGCCCUACAAGUUGAUCCCUUCUUUCCCUCAAAAAAAAAAAACAAGUUGAUCCCUUCAUCUUGCCGAAAAAAGAUUGAUCACUUCCUCCACCGGUUGUUGUGUCUCUUAGACGACAUUAUGAUCCUGAGACAAGUUUUUGUAAACCUGCGUUUUGAUUGCCCCUUUUACUACUUCCAGUUCGUGUGUACAAAUAUCUUCUAUUGAUAUUCCUUCCGCUUAUGUCAGCCGGGCUAAUAUGGGAUUCUCGGCACAGCUGGCAGUCCGUUCUUGAGCCUCUCGCUUCCAGAUUUUCCCAUUGCUCUUGUUAGAUAGGGUUUGGAUAAAUCCCAGUUUCAGAAUGUCUAUACUUGUGGUUCAAAUUAUGUUAGCAAAGCCGUGUGAUAUUGGCGUAGAAUGUGCCGAUAAAUACUUCACUGAACCAUUCCACAUGAAGUACAAACAAUGGCUCAUUGACAAGUAUUUCUAAUUUGUUAGGGUCUAAGCCCUCUCGUUGCACUGUUCAUGCUGCCAAACAUUCAAACCUACCAUAGGUUUCUCUUUUUUGAUAAACGUACCAUCGGCCCCUACAACGACGUGUUCUAUUAGGAAAUGAGAUAAAAAAGGUUGGUUACAUCACUACUUGUGUCAUAUGAAAUCUUCAUUUACCUCUCUAAGACUGAAUCUAUUGCCAAGAAAUUGUUCAAACAAGUUCUGUUGUGCUUCUUCUACCUAUAGUAGCGUACAUCAAUCCAUAAACUUAAACACAUCUGCUAAUGGCUCUUGAUUUUUGUAUUCCCAGGUACAUCAACCGUUUCUCCAUGUUUCUAGCAUAUCUUUGCUUCAAUAAUAGAGAAGUGCAUUUGCUUCUUAUCAUGAAUAAUAGUGCAGAAAACAAACAUAACCAUGCAUAUAUUGUUUUGUUCACACCACCUCAAGUUAUUAGUUCAACUUAAUCAGUUUAAUUCCAUAAAUUGGGUGAGUGUAAGAACUUUUAAUUAUGUGCAUUUUAGGGGCUCAAUUAUUGACUAUGUGUAUGCAUUCUAAGUGUACUGGUUGCACUAUCUUUCAGGCUGCAUGCACGGCAAUGUGUGUUGUGUUCUAUACCCUAAAUUCAUUCUCUUUCACUACCAAUAUUUUUCCUCAUGACUACAAUCUAACCUUCAAGAUAGGCGGGCGUGGCAACGCGCGCCUUCAUGUUCUAGUUUUUAUACUAGUAUAAACAUGCCCGUGCGUUGCAACGGGAGAUAAAAAGACACAAAACGAGAUAACAAAAAAACAAAGUCUGUAGCCUUCCUUCCCGACCGCGCCCAUGAUGGCUGCGGUUGCUGCGGGUCCAGCUGAUCACAAAGCAUUCUUACAUGGACAAUCCCAAGACGAUGGGCUCUAACACCACACGCCCUGCUAAUCCUGCUCCUCUCCUUUAUGUUGACGUCUUGAGCCCGGCGCAAUCGAGCCGGCUAGAUUCCGAAGCAUAUCAACUCUUGGAGAGACUUAGAGGGAUGCACUGUUUAUACCAUGCGCCAACAUAGAGCAGAAACAAACAGGUGCAUUCAAACAGUCUCACAUACCCAAAUUCCUUUCCCUUUCUAUAGAAGCUCAUUGUGCUCUAAUUAUACAUGAAACCAAUGGCAAGCAAAUAAAAUACUUACAUGAUUUAGAAUUACAGGACAAACUCAUCAUAUAUAGAAUUAAAGAGGAGGACAAAGGCCUGCUCAAUGAUAUGAUGGAAGCAAGAGGAGGACAAUGACAUGCCUUUUGCACCUGUGAACAAGUUGAAAGCGCUGGUGUUUCGCUUAAUGUAUAGCUCAAUGGUAUAUGGUUGUUUCACAGUCUCCUGGAUGUGCCACUUGUGUAUUAUUUUAAAAAAAAACUCAACAUUUAGAAUUUAACUUCCAAUAAUGUUCACAUAAUCAUUCCAUUCUGAUAGUUACACCACGAGAAAUUCAAGACGAAUUAUUAUUAACAAGUUUGGUACUUCGGUGGAGUCCUACAAAACUGACUUGUCAAAUUGACAGAGUACAAGAACAAUGAAAACACACAAGAUUACAGAUAGCUUAACACAUCACGCGUUACAUGCUUCAUCCUCCUGCAUCAUUAUCUCCUCCUCCACUACUCCCCAGCAGCAAUUGCCCUGUUUCCCACAACAAGACGAAGGACAGCAACUCUGCGAGCGGUAGGUUAUUGUUAGGAAUAUGAUAUACUCAACAAAACACAGCAAGAUAAGCUGACUACAAACAAAUAAAGACAGCGCACAACUUUCAUUUCUCAGCCUUCUUUUCUUUUGGGCGUGCCUGUGCUGCUUCCGUCCCAGCACCUUUCGUUGGUUGUUCAGUGAUGGUUGCUUUGUAAUACAAAGCGGGGGGAAACCCUAUUUCCGCAAUAAUAAACGGGGAAAACUGCUAAUAGGCAACUUCUCAUUAUGCAUGUGGAGUUUAAUUAGUCUACUAUCCAUUCCAUUCAUCUGGAUCGUGCUAAAUAAAAAACCACUCCAUAAGAGUUUGGUGUGGAGAGUGUAUAUUUUAGGCUGAUGUAUUUCCAGGAAAUCUUUUACAUGCCAUGUAUUUACUCUUAUCUCUUCAUUUUAGCAAUGAAAAAGGAGCAUCAAUCUGGACAUAUUUAUUAUCCAAAAGCAGAUGUACAAUGGAUAUAUUUAUCAAGUUUUGAAGCGAUAUGACUGCUGCUAAGUAUUGCACAAGCCUUGACAGAUCCUUGAACUUCAUCAUUUAGUUAAUAUCAAUAAAUUGAAAAUUAAGAUCAGACCUUGGAGCAAGUGUAGAUAACAAGAGUCAGCCAAGUCCAGGCAUUAGGUGCACAAUUUGAGGAACCAUCACCAGCUUGGUCGAGAAAAUAUGAUAAUGGGGACAUCAGUUGAAGUUCAUAUUGACGUUGUGAACCACAAAGCUUACAUGUGCCAACAUCCUGUGAGUUAGUUGUAGGCAACAGUGGACUACCACCACAUGAAUACCUGCAGGUAAUUAGACACCAAAAAUCGAAUCAGGUUCUGAAACUAAAAUAGGUGUAUACUUAGAGAAAAGCAUGAUAUAACAAAUAAUAACAAGGACAUGAUGAGUUCUACCUAAAGCAUUGUUGAGGAUAUGCAUCCAACCGUUUCUUAAAUUUUAAGAAAGUUCUGUCGGCCCCAGGAGCACUAUCAUAUUCAUACUUUUCUCCUUCCCAUUUUUCUUCUUCAUCAUUACCCAUGUCCAUUACCUCUUCUGCCAAAAGUUUUUCAUAGCUACUAGAACCUACACUGGUUUUCCCCCUCGACUGUUCCUUGUCGUAAUAGAUAUAGAAACAAGGAAGAACUGCAGAAAGAAAAUCUCAUGAGACAAAAACACUCGGACUUUACACUUAUGGUAAUGAGUUCUGCAGAGAUUUCCCUCACCUGGUAUACUCAGGUCAUUUACUUUCUCCUUCACUACAGCGCAUUUUCUAGGGACAUUAUUAGCACGCUUUGAUUUACUUUUCUUCUUUGUGUUGGAUGCCACCGUUGCAGCCUGCUCGAGUGCUGCAGCCAAGGCAUCUAAAUCAAAAUCAUCAUCAUUGGUGUUGGAACUCUUGUUUUCUUCUUCAUUAUUUUUCCCCACAGAACAGGAAGGAGUUGGCUCAUUUGAGCAAACCUUUUCUUUACUUUGGACUGACCCGUCCCCAUUAUCAUUUGAUUGCAUACCAGUAUGGCACUUCUGAACCCUUAGGACCUUCCAACUUUAAGAAGCAAAUAAAAUUAGAAGUCAGACAAACUAACCUCAAAUCAAACUGAAGAUCAGAAUAACAUGUAAUUGUACCAAACUACCAAUGGUAAGUGACACAUGCUUGCCUUUGGGUGUUAGGGCUGCAUUUUGGCGCCGGGCAAACGAGCACAUACAGUGUCCUCUCUUCAAUGUUAAGCUUCGCAAGAGGAGCAUAAACCUGAAGUUACUACACACAUAUAAGAAAAACAUGGCAAAACUACUAGUGCUGAGAUAUAGGUGCUGGCUACCAUCAUAGAAACAAGCUAGUAUGCGACAAGAAUUUAGGGUGCUGUUAAGUCUGUAGGUCCAAAGAUGAUAAAUUCACAGUACUCUAUUCCCUUAUAUGGACGUCCAUCAGAAGAUGCUUCAGCUCUUAACAUUCUUAGCUAAUUCAGUAAAGUAAAAAACUCGCCUGAGCAACAAGGCAGAGCCUGGUUCCACACAAUUUGCAUUGGAGUGAUUCAGCUUCAGUCCCCACAUCCUCGGCUGGCCAAUCCUACAGAAAAAGAUUCAGAAAAUUACUUAAACAUGAGCUAGCAAUAGCCUCCCCUUGGGAAAAUCGUUCCACCUUUGGAUAGUAGCAGAAGAUAAAAUUGGUACUAGAACACAUUGGAGCAUGUAGCAUAACAGGAGGGCUUAUUUCCAACUUCCCAAGAGAAGGGGCAGCAUAGCUUCAUCUCUGGUAACGAAAUUGAAGAAGAGAUGGAGAAGAAAACAACAAGUUAGCGAUGGCAUACAGGGACCCCGCCGAUCUUGGUGGUGUAGUGGUCGGCCUUCUCCCGGUAGUCCUCCGCCCACGGCCCCGGCAGGCCCAGAUGCACCUCCUCCGCCAUACCUGCCGCCUAUCUACUAUCCCUCGAAAGAUGCGAGCUUCGCGGAGCUAGCAGACGGCCGCGGGAGGCAAGGACCGCGGACUCGACGGCGGCCGGCGGCGGCUGGAGAGAGGGGUUAAGCGGUUACUCCGUGUGGUCUCUCCCUGGGGGAAAGCUAUUCAGGCCUGGUUCUGCGAAAGGGCCUGGACCGCCAUGGGCGGGGACGAGGCCCUGCAGUGUAAAGAAGGCCUCAUGGCCCACCCUGACGGGCUGAAUCAGGUAGUGCAGUGUAAACAUUGUUCGCUUUCAAAAUCCCGUUCACUGAAAUUUUGCCAAAUUCAUGAAUUCAUAAAAUAUAAUAAUAAUUUUCACCGAAUUAUUUUCGAAUAUCAUUAAAUAAAUAAAUUUUUAAUUUACAAAGAAUAAAUCAAAAAUCAUUUCACUGAAUAAUUUUUAAAUUCGCGAAGAAUUUUCACAGAACAAUUUUUGGAACAAUUUGAAUUUUUUUCAAAAGCGAAAACCGUUUUAAAUUUCGGUUUUUAAAAUAUUUUGACCACUUUUUCAACGUGAACACUUUUGAAUUUCUGAAGAUUUUUGGAAAACAUGAAGAAAAAAGCGUGAAAACAUUUUUUGAAAUCCCCAUUAUUAUUGUAAAUAGCGACAUUUUAAAAUUUUCUAACUUUUUUUAACAUUGAGUGAAAUUUAUGAAUAUAUAAACGAAAUAAAAGAAUAAAAAGAGAAACAAAAAAAUAAAUAAAUAAAACAAAGAAAAAAUAAAAAGAAGAGAAAAUUUCGAAAAGGAAAACUUUGAACCUUCUAGAAGGUUUCCAAAACUGCUAUUUCUUGUUCAAUCACUUCGCGUGGGAAGGACUCCUAAUGGGUCGGCCAUGUACUUACGCACGUGAGCAGUCGCAGCACUAACGAUUGCAAGACCUCCUCCCAGCGCCUUAAGCGCCAGGAAGGGUAACCAGUGCUCACAAGCCCCCCUCGUGAGCGUUCGAUCCGGACCUCCGGUUUUCCCGGUUCUCUGAUCGAGGUUGAUUGGUCGCUGUUGGAUCGGUCCACUGCUGAUCGGUUGACCAUUGACUUUUAGAAAAUAUUCACAAAGAACCAUGAAAACAAAAAAUGAAAAAAUGUCAUGAAUUUGAAAGAAAAAAUCAUGACUUCAAAACAAUGUUCAUGAAUUUCAGAAAGUUGUGAAAUUUGGGAGAUUUGUUUACAAAUUUGAGUAAAUUCACCUAGGUCGGAUAAGAAGUUCAUUUUUUUGGAAAAAAGGUUCAUGGAAUUUGAGAAAAAAAAUAAGUUCACAAAUUUAAGAAAAAUCCUGAUUUUGGAAAAAAAAUCAAGACUUGUAAAAUUCCGCAAUUUCAAAGAAAUUCGCAAAAAUUAAAAAGAUGCUGGGGUAACCAUACAUUGAUGGGCUAUGCAAGUGGUGCUAUACGAGGCCGUGAACAACUCUAAAAGUGGCCUAACGAGGCGUAUGUUAUUUUCGAACCGGAUUUUCCUCCUUUUCCCAUUACUUUUGACAUAACCCUAAACCCUAUGUCCGUGGACCACCAGGGCCGGCCCUGGGUAGGGGCAAGAAGGGCAACGCCCUAGGGCCCAGCCCAAUGGGGGGCCCAACCCUGUGCACAUAUGCUACACAACCGAACAAAAUGGGCCUUAAAGCAUGUAGCCCAAUCAGCUAGGUUACGUUCUGCUAGAAAAAACUAGUAGGUUACGUGAAUUCUGAAAGACACCGUCCCAGUUUUGAUUCAAUCGACCCAUCUCGUAACACCAGCCACCGUCGUUUCUUCUUCCUGUCUCCUCGUUCCCCGUUCCGCUCCUACUCCCAAAGCAUGCAGUAUGCCUAGCAAAUUAAUGGAUACUGCCGCUAAAGUUGAUUUCUUUGAUACACUUUCAGUUUGUCCAUCUCACUCCCCUAUGGAUUUGCAUAUAAGUAUUCUCAUCUAGCGGACGGCCACAGGCAGAGCCCAACACUUCAUAAGCUCAUUCACUUUGCAAGUUGCAACAGGACAGUUUCUCGGGUCAAAGACCUACAAAGAUCUUGUAAUUGCAUAGUCCUUUUCCGCUUGAUCUUUGUACUGUUUUUCUUUGUUUUCUAGCGAUUCCCAGACUGAUCUUCUAUUUAUGUACAUGUUGCUCAUUUGAGGAUAUGUGGACCCUAGGAAGAUCCGAUAUGCUUGGGAUUGGAUAGCUGGAUUUCUUUUAUUUUUUCACCGACAAAUUCAGGUAUUUCAACUCCUUUCUUAUAAAAUGUUGGCUAAAAACAUGAUUUUGAGAAAGAAGAAAGAAAGUGAUAGCAGAUAAGUUAGAUCCGAUAUAUAUAUAUUUUUAGUAAUAAUAAAAAGGGAGUUCUUUAGGGCAUAAAAAUGUUAUGCUUUGUAUCUUCUUUUUUGGCGCCGAUUGUGGUUUAUAUCAAUGUAAUUUAUAUUUUUCACUACAUUAGACCCACUUUUUAAGUUCGCCCCGGGCCUCCGAAAAGUCAGGACCGGCCCUGUGGACCACUUAGAUAUGAGUAAAACAGAGACGCGAAAACUUUUUAUCUAUUCAUCAAACACCAUGAGAAUACAAAGAACACAAUAAGCUAAACAAACUACACCCAUGUUCAUAGACCAUAUAGCGACGAUUACAAGCACUGGAGAGGGGCGCGGACACCUGAUAGCGUUAAGAAACCCAUAUGCUUGUUCGAGUAUUUGAAAAGAAAAAUGUUGGACGGCCGCGUCCGGCAAACUAACCGAACCCGAUGCGUUCAUGUUUCGGUUGAUUUCUUGCUGAGAGGAUACUUGGACUGAUUGAGAGAGCAUAACUAACGCACCACUCAUAGUAUAUCGUAGUACCUGGCACGCAGAUCGCUACAAGAAGUGGAGUUCGGAUGCACAAAUUUCCUUUAAAAACUGCGGGUGUGGGUGUGCUGUCCAUGGCAAAGCUAGGGAACGGACCAACAACCGCCGCCACCACUACACCCUAGUCCCUAGAUGACACGAGUGCAGCCACCACUGCGAACACAGAAACCAUUAGCCGUUGUUAAUCUCUGUCGUCGCCUUCUCCCGGUGGCCGGGAGCUGAAGCCUUCAUUGACAUGAGCUCCGGUGAUGCUGCGUGACUGAAUGCAGCCUCGGGGGGCAUCUUUCUUUCAUAAAAUCAUGGGCGUGCGGUGCCACCUCAUAUCUAUCACACGACAGAUGCAGGGGCGGCGACAAGUGCCUGAUCUGUUGGAAUGCGUACGUGUGAGUGUGUGACAGUCUGACGGAACAUGUAUGAAUUGCUUCCCGUCCGUGACAUUGACAUGAGCACGUACAUACAUAAUCCUACGGUCCUACCACUACCUAGGACGCGAUGGAGCGAGUCACGGGAUCUCGACGAGCAACCGCGCGCGCUCAGUUCCGGCUUGCUUCCAGGACGACGCCGUGGGGCAUGUGGGCAUGCGCCGGCUUGGCCGCUUGCCGGGCAGCCCUGAUCGUGCAUGCAUGGAUGCACAAUUGCACAUGCACUCCUCUGCUUUUCUGCUGGCAGCGGUGGUGAGUGAAUUCCACUUUUUAUCCCAUAUUUAUACAUUUGUGACACUAAUUACCCCUUCGAGUGAAAAUUCGUCUAGAAUACCCCUUUUAAAAUCUUUGGACCCUCGUUUUUUUAUGCGUGUCCAUCAGGUAAGGUGUGAGGUGACGCCCUGUAUCCAAAAACAUGUGGACGGCCACAAGAAGUGGAACAGAUAGACAAGAAAAGCUUGGACAAGAUCGCCAAUGAUCCCCUCCAAUCCUUACAGUUUUUUUUACGAAUCAAUGACGCAACAUGCCGAUCCUAUCGACCAUAAACAAACAAAAUGUAAAACUGAGGUAAAACCGUGUUAAAAGUCUCCAAAAUCUGACAUUUCGAUAAAAGUUCCACUAAAUAGGGUAAUAUGUGUCACAAAUGUACAACUACAGGGUAAAAAAUGGAAUUCACUCGCGGUGGUGGUUCCGAGAAAUGGCGGUGCCUAGCUAGAACUGGAACCGCGUGUUCUGGGCGUGUCCCUCCCGUCCAUCCUGCCGUCCUGGUAGUAUCACGUGCGUGCACCCAUUGCUGGGCGGGCGCGCGCGCUCUCUUGUCGCGGUGCAUCUUUUCUGUAUCGGCAGCGUGCCGCCACGAUCGGGUCGGGAUCCGGAUCACCAGAUCCAGCGCAAUUCAAAACGUUUGUAUCGACGCGUCCACACCACUUUUUGCCGUCCAACAAGGUGCCCCGUAUGUUCAUGGACGCGUUUGUACGAUUGAAUUCUCACAAUUUGGAUGCAAAGCUGGAGAAGGUUUGUGGGUGUUCACGGAUCUCCGUCACAUAGGGCUACGACAACUCCGGCCCAUUUUCACCGCCCUCUAUCCCGAUCUCAUCAUUUUCACCGCAUGGACCCAUUUAGACGGUCGUCGUAGCUAGAGGAGGAGGAUUCAGAGGUGGUGGCCACUCGUAAGAUCAACUCGUCGACCCACAACCGUGCCACCGAGUCCAAAUGACCAGGGAGUAAGCAGCUUAUCUGGUCGCGGACGUCGGGCGUGGAUCACUGCAGCUUAUCCGGUCGUGGAAGUCGGGCGUGGAUCAACUGGGGUACCCGCUCUCUGUUUACUCAUAUGUCUCAACAGGGCGCAACGCCGACUGAUCACGGGCAGAUCGCUAGACAUCAUCCACGACAGAGGUGGCUUCGAGGACGGAUAAGUUGAUGACUCCUGGUCAAACUAUACGCGGAGCAACCGAGCAUGUACACCUAACAUCUGGACUCGUCCACAUAGCAACCAGACUAGUAUAUCGAGCAUACGGGCCUUGAUUCGAACGUUCGGUCGAUCGGUCAACCCAUGGAAUAAUGGUAGGGAAGAAAGUUUCAAUUUGAGAAAGGACAAAUUGUUGUGUGAUACUUGGUUCGCCACUGUUGUUGAUCCUUUUCAAGGCAUGGAGCAAAAGGGCUCAACCUUUUGCCUCAAAUGUUCACGCUUGGUUCCAUGAGCUCAAGAACUUCGAUCCCUACCGAAUGAAAGCAAUUCAAGAUCAUACGCCAGAGUCGCUCACCCCUCAAUGGUAAACCACCCAAUAAUCUGUCAAAAAGUAUUGCAACCAUCUCAAUUGUCGGUACUAAAAACGGCGGAUCUCGGGUAGGAGGUCCCGAGCUGUUUACCCAGGUUUGGGCCCUCUCGAAGAGAUAAAACCCCCACGUCCUGCUUUUGGUUGUAUUGAUGAUGGUGUAUCGAGUACAAGCUUGAUCUACCUCGAGAUUCUAUGUUAUGUUCUAACUGUAAGGUGUGUAAUGAAUCAAUCUGUCUCUACAGACUAAACCCCUCAGCUUAUAUAGGGCGCUGAAGGUAUCUAGGGUUACACAUGGUCGGUUGCCAGUUGUCGAAGCAGACGCCAACAGCCAAAGCAAUCCUUGGGGUACACGCCAAGUCUUCGGCAGAGCCCAUCUUCACUACGCCAAGAUUCAAGGCUUCCGGUGUCCUUCCUUAUGAGAUCGGUGGGCCAUAAGCUCGGCCCGGGGACUGUGGGCCAACUAGGUUGGUACCCCCUAGUCUAGGACACUGUCUGUAGCCCCUGAUCUGGUUUUCGAAGCCGGAGUCCACAAAUUUCCUCGGUCAUCAUGUCUUCGGCUUGACAUGCAAGUUCUUUCCCCGAUGAUCAAUUUACACAAUUUUGUUGUCUUCUGUUGUCCUCUAGCUAGCAUAUGCUCCAAAAAACGAUGGCCCCAGGAGGAGAAAACGACAUUGCGCGCUGCCAUCGUCUGAUCCAGGAGAGACAAAUCUAGGGUUUCCCCUGGAGCAUCGUGGGUGGGGAGACGAGAGUUGCAACAAUGAUGCCUCCAACAAGGAAACGACGCAAUGCGCUACCAUCGAUGGCAAAGUCCAAAGUCGGCGCGGUUUUCAUCGGCGGCCACGCCUUUCCGAACCCACAGCUGGCUUUAGAUCCGCAAACCCCGAAGGACUGUGAAUUUCCCGCAUCAAGUGUCUUCGACGCCGGAGAAAGUUCCGACCGCCACGUGCCUCCAGCGACGAACUCGGGUACAUGAUCCCUUGAUCCGCGCCCCCAGGCACCACCACAUAAGCCACCUCCUAGCUCGUCAUUCCCGAUGGAGGGGACGCUCCCGACGCCGUGUCUGGAGCCGCUGCUUCGGGGCCUUGCAUUGUAGAUCUCUGUCGAGUCCGUCGUCUCCACAUUGUCACCGGAGUGACGCCACGGGGCCUGGAGGAGUAGCCGUUGUAGGAAGAUCUCGCGCCGCGGUGCACCGCCCCUCCAGGCAGUAGUGCCAUGACUGUGGGACGCGAGAUCCCUGCUGUCCUCUUCGCCGGCGGCGCACAGGCUUCCCUGGUGGCUACCUCUUGGGACGGUGAGGGGAGAGGGGAGAGAAGGGGGGUGACGGUGGGGGCUAAGGUUAGUGCCCUCGGUCGCCUUGGAGGAGGCGACAUGAGGGACACAACUAGUUCCUUAGUGGACACGGCCACGGGACGCGAGGGACAAUCUGUCCGAUCUACGACACGGCGUUGGAGAUAUCUUAUAUUUGCAUAUUUUUCCUAUAUGGACAUUCGCUACAUGCAUGGCAGGGUCACACGCUCGUACCUUUUCAAAAGAUGCACAAAGUUCUUGAGUCCUUGAAGCCACUUUCCGUGGACAUUUUUUUCUGUUUCUCCCCUGGGCCGGUUGUAAACGAAUUAACGAAAGAGGCUACCAGUGCAUGAAAAGCAUGCAUGAAUUUCCAGCAUACUUUCCGUUGACAUUUUCCCCGACAACCCCAACGAUCCCAUCAGCCCCGCCGCACCUGCACCGCAACUGCAAGGCUGCACAGUGCACACUGACGACGCCUUUGGAUCAACCCCGGCAUGUCGGCGUCGUACCCACGCAAUCUUCCCAACCCGCAGGCCGCAGCUCCGUUACGCAUUCCCGCUAUUGGAAAGCCACUACUAGAGCACACCCUCCGUGCUCCCGACGCAAGAGAUCGUCGACCGAUCGGCGUCCAAACCGAGCGUGCAGUGCAGGUAAAACCAACCAGAAGACCCCUAAAUUGAAAGGCCACCAAACGUACGUAGCACCACCGUACCGGCAUCGCAUAUCGCAUAUUGACCGGCGACGGCGAGAUCGACGACGACGGGACCGAUCGAGUUGCCGGGGAAAGCAAGGCAGGCAUCGCCCCCUGGUUCGGCAUUCCUCCGUAGGGAAACCACCGCCCGCUGCACGUAAUUUCGCCCGGCGUCGUGGACGAAAAGAAAUCUCUUUGAUGAGCAUGCGGGUUCAUGGUUGGUUGGCUGGUUGGUCGCCGGGUAACCUCAGCGUGCGGGACCGUUUGCCCGGAGCUAAUCCCGAGAGUUAAUUAGCACAUGUGAUUCCGACGUGUGUUGCUGUCGAGGUAUAUGAACACGUAUCAAUCACGAGAUAUGCCGAUGGAUAAAGGACGGGAUUUGGCUCGAUGAGGACAUGUACGUACGCCAGAGGUUCAGAAGAAACACAUGCGUGUACAUGCUAAUCCCAAGAGUUAGCACACGUUCUGAAGCUCGGUCUGCAUUUGUUUCUUGUGAAUUUUGGAGAAACGAGUGCUGUGUGUUGGUGGCGGCGAUUCGCGUGAUCUCAAGGAUAACAUGAUCUAAAUCUCGUGGACGGACGCCAAAGAGAAAAGCAUCAUUGAUUGAAGCGCGUGUAUAUCCGUUUGAUUUUGUAUGAACACGUACGUACGGCCUGCGGGUGGCCGACCAAGACGAAAACGGUAUGCGUAACCACCGAUGGUCCAGGUGAUGAGGCGCCCAUCACGCGUGAGGCGACCCGAGCAUUGGAACGUAGUUGGCCCCCAGAGACCAGACCCCCCACCUAACGGUAACGCAACACAAUCGAUCCGCGGCUGCCUGCCUGACUGACUGCCUCUCAUUGCAUGUGUGAUGGUCUGAAACUCUCUCAUCGGAUUAGGGCCAUGAUAUGAUUCAUCGGCUCGGAUCAGAUCAGAUCCGUCGAACCCAGCUGAGGUGGUGACCCAACCACCGGACGUUCGUAGGUUACGCACAAUGCUCAUUCAUUCCUCAUCAUACAUCUUGGUGCCGAUCGGUCAUCGAUUAUUCGUCGUUUCGCCUCCAUUACAGGCGGGCAAGCACCGUCCACCGCACUGUUUCGCCCGAGGCCGAUCAAUCGAAUCUCCGUCCCCAACCCGUGCCGUCACACUAUCCCAUUUUAGUUCUUGAUUGAAGUAUACCUUGCUUUCACAGUGGUAAUUACCAACCCCGGCUGGAAGUAAUAAACCAGAUCGCAUCUGCGUACGUUCACGGCAAAAGCAGCUUUCCAACCCCUGCUUUCUUUCGUUAACCACCGGCACCCAUCAACCGCCAUCCACCACGUUGAGAUUCUCAAAGUGCCACCUUUACGCCCUGCCGCUUUGCCACGAGCCGCAUUGUCAAGUCUAAAGCGUCCCACGGCCACAUCUGAAUCAGCGCACCGCCGUUCAAACUCGCUCUAGAAACCAAAAAAUUCAAGUCACAGGUCAGAAAACGCGCGGACUUUGCUCGCUUGACAUCACACGCGAGGACACGUACAUGUUUGUUGUCACGAAGAAACGGCACCGACUUCUGGACUUCUGGUUGUUGUUGCAACGUACUCCGGCAGAGGGGGAAGAAGUUUGUGAGGCGCGUUGAAACGAAUGCAUGGACGGAUGGCUCCAAGAAUGGCAUCGCUCACGGGCUGGGUAGAGUACAAACCACAAAUUGCGACAAGAGUGGAGGCGGGACGGGGAAAACAAAGCCUCGCCCGCCACCGCCGUCCCCCUCACGGGCCGCUCCAGCUCACGCCCACGCCCACGCCACGCUCUCGGCUCGCAACCACCAGACCACUCUAUAUAUCGCCAGUGCCAGUGCUUGGCAGAGGACGGAGAGGAGGCCUAGCUAGCACUGGGAGCAAUGGCCAUGGCGGGGCGUCCUCCGUUCCUGGCCGUGGCGCUGCUGCUGGUGGCCACGGUGAUGCUGAGCUGGGGCGGCAAUGUGGAGGUGGCGGAGGCGCAGACGCCGGUGUUCGCGUGCGACGCGUCGAACGCGACGCUGGCGUCCUACGGGUUCUGCAACCGGAAGGCGUCGGCGUCGGCGCGCGCCAAGGACCUGGUGUCGCGGCUGACGCUGGCGGAGAAGGUGGGGUUCCUGGUGAACAAGCAGCCGGCGCUGGGGCGGCUGGGCAUCCCGGCCUACGAGUGGUGGUCCGAGGCGCUGCACGGGGUGUCCUACGUGGGGCCCGGCACCCGGUUCUCGCCGCUGGUGCCCGGCGCCACCAGCUUCCCGCAGCCCAUCCUCACCGCCGCCUCCUUCAACGCCUCCCUCUUCCGCGCCAUCGGCGAGGUCAGUCUUUCAGUCACCGACCUCGCGCCCCCUGUUUCGUUUCGUUUAGUUUUGGUUCGAUCACCGUUACUUGCACCGGCGGCGAAAAGGAAGCAUGCGAAUCUGUCCUUCGCCGCCGCCGUCCGCAUUGCGGUUGCUUGCCCCGGCGAGCUUUGUGGACUGUGGGUGCGGGUUGGUGGUGGUGGAUUGGGGUUGGGGAGCGGAGAUUCGAUGGGUGCAAGUGUGGAUCAGGCGUCAGGGAAUGCUGUUCCUUGCUUUUGCGUCUUUCCGUUAGCUCGUGCGAUGCCGUUUGGUACUGCAUUGGGUACGGGCUCUGGAUUACAUUAUUCCGUCCGGCCGGCCGGCCGGCGACUUUGGCUGCCAUUGGCGAGCGACGCGCGGCAUGCAUUUAACAUUUAACGCUGCUGCUGCAGCUGCAGCUGCUAAACCUAGCGUGCUGUGAAAAGCAGCGCCGGCGCCGCAGCAUGCGAUGCGUUUUUGUUACCGGAAGCAAUACUUUUGCUCAGUCUAAAUCUAAAGCUAGCGUAGAGAGGGAGGAGUAUGCAUGCGUUUUCGCUUCUUCCUUGCCAUGCCAUGGCAUGGAGAGAGGCUGGUGUAUACGCGCUGAAGGAAUCAUAAUUAGGUCCAGUGUAUCACGGAGCAGUAAUAAUACGCGCUCAAGGAAUCAUAAUUAGGUCCAGUGUAUCACGGAGGACUGGCCACACUGCACAGUGCUCCUCCACGACUCUCCAUGUGCAGGGACAUGGAGGAGUUUUAUCUCCACCCCACCCUAGAUGAUACUGUCUUUCCGUCCGUGGAUUUGCAUUGAUUGGACGCUAGCGGUGAGCACGUAGUCCAUGGCAGCCUGUCAGCAAGGAAAAUGCCUUUCUCUUGAGAUUUUUCUCCGUUCCUGGUUGAGGCGUCGCUGUCUGGGUGGGGAUUAGUAAUUCAGGAACGAGUGCCCCCAAUCAUAAUACCUGGUAGCAGUACCGGGGGUAUCAAUUUGAGGUCCCAUAUGAAGCAGCUUUUUUUUCCAAGUGCAAAUCGUCGUAGACUCCACCACCGUCACCAGCUAGCUCUUGUCCUCGUCGAGUUUGGGAAAAGUGCCGUUUCAGCAUGCUUGUAGGCAGCAGAUGCCUGGAUUUUGAUGCCAUUUUGGAGAUUAACAAGUCGAUUAAUUUAAGCUUAGCUACUACCACUUGAGUGCACCGUGCCGACCCGUGCGUGCAUGGGUCGUCGUCGACAUUGUUGUCUGAAUCAUUUCUGAAUUCUGACGGUUUUUUCUUCCUCGUGUGGUUUGCCAAUGGCGCGUGCAGGUGGUGUCGACGGAGGCGCGGGCGAUGCACAACGUGGGGCUGGCGGGGCUCACCUUCUGGAGCCCCAACAUCAACAUCUUCCGGGACCCGCGGUGGGGCCGCGGCCAGGAGACGCCCGGCGAGGACCCGCUGCUCGCCAGCAAGUACGCCGUCGGAUACGUCACCGGCCUCCAGGACGCCGGCGCGGCGGGCGUCGUCGACGGCGCGCUCAAGGUCGCCGCCUGCUGCAAGCACUACACCGCCUACGACGUCGACAACUGGAAGGGCGUCGAGCGCUACACCUUCGACGCCAAGGUACUACCAUUGCAUUGCGAUUGACUCACCAAGAAUAAUCUUGCUCGCUUCACUUCGUGUAGCUAGGUGAAGUAGCUUAUUUUGGGUUACUUUGCCUGGCUGGCUGCCAUGAUUGGCUUGAUGGCCAUGAACGCUUACCGUUCUGCGUCUCUGACGUGCGAGUAAAUGAGUGUGCUAGCUUGCUGUACCCAGUAGCAGUACACUACUGACUGACAAAAGCGCGUCGGCAAGGCCUACUUCCCUUUGGUUAAUUUACUACUUCCUCUGUUCACUUUUAUAAGACCUUGAGGACAUUUCAGACAAUGUGCAAAACAGCCUAUUUUAAAUUGUCUGAAACGACUUACAAAAGUGAACGGAGGGAGUAGUACUAAUCGACCCAUCGCCAUUCCUUAUUGGUAGCUAGCUAGAUAUAGCUCGAAUCAGUGCACUGGCACUCAGAGCUGUGCUACUAAAUUGGAUCCGUUUCUCGCAUGGUUACGAUGCUGAGCGACACCGACAAACAGCAUCGUUAGUUUCUCUAUUCGCCCCGCUCAAGUAAAAUUACCGCCUUCUUGGUUGACAGCAACAUGCUGGUUUCUACUGCUAGUUGCAACAGUUUGCACCCUCGUCCACCCCACUGCAAAUUUAGUAAAUUAUGCAAGACACUUCUAGCUUAAUCAUUGUACACUUAACUAAGGAAUGAGGGAAUGUCUGGACACGUGUAGGUGCAUACAGAAAAGCAAGUUGCGAGUUGUUAACACCUCAGAUCCUGGUAAAAUGGCAGAUCCGGGCACUGAAAAAUGGCAGAUCCGGGCAGACAAACACCCAUCGCCCAAAACCUUGUCUAAAACAACGCUGCAUUUGCACCUCUCUGGCAGCGUCUCGGAGCCCUUGUCCCAGAAUCUAAUUCAGUUUCCUAUGCAUCAAGGGUACGGUAGUGCGUGUUCUAUAAUUCUCAAAGGACAGAAACAGGAGCAGAGUCAUUUGUGUUUUUGUGUGUAUUUUAGUAGUAUGUGAGCACUAGCAGAUAAAGUUAUAUAAUGGCGCGCGCCUAAUCAUGGGUGUCGUAUUAGAUAGAUACCGUGCAUGUGAGCCUGCUGCAAUCACUGCUCAAAAGUAUUCAAAGCAUAGUCACUCACCACUCACUGUACGUGCAACUCCACUCCAUCAGAUUUUGAGAGAAGCAACAUGCCAAGCUUUCUGAAAAUCCACACUAGAAGCUGUAAACUAACAAGUAGAAAGAAAAACAGAAAGUAAUGGCAGAAAACUGCAAUCCUGUAACAGUUUUCCCUUGUGUGUUUUGUGAAAUUCAGGUGUCGCAGCAGGACCUGGACGACACGUUCCAGCCGCCGUUCAAGAGCUGCGUGCUGGACGGCAAUGUGGCCAGCGUCAUGUGCUCCUACAACAAGGUGAACGGGAAGCCCACCUGCGCCGACAAAGACCUCCUCUCCGGAGUCAUCAGAGGGGACUGGAAGCUCAACGGGUACCUCAUCUUGCCCUACUCAUGUCGCAAGAUGGUGUACGCUAGCAGUUAGUUUCAGAGAAGACCAUGUACAUUCUGAAUUUCUGAUGGCAUAUGCAUCUCUGUUUGGUUCUGGCUGCAGAUACAUCGUGUCCGACUGCGACUCCGUCGACGUGCUCUACACCCAGCAGCACUACACCAAGACGCCCGAGGAGGCCGCCGCCAUCACCAUCAAAUCAGGUCCGUCCAUUCGUCACAAUACACAUCAUCCAACUAUACAUAUCCAGUGCAAAUGUAGUACAGACAAUGCAGAUGUUUGGAUGAUGAUCUAUUACUGUUAGUGCGACCCCUAGCAGCAGUUAUGCAAUCAGUACGAGUCGAGAUUAGCGGUAGCCAUCGAGUUGUUAGGGCGUCCGGUCCGGUGUAAUUGAUGGGCUCUUGGCAACAACUUUUUAAAGCUUAAGGGACCUUGACAACUUGCAUCCUGACCGACCUCAAGAAAUUAUCCCCGGUUGUGUCCACGCAAUUAUACAUGCUACUGUUCUUGCAGAUCCAGCUUGCAAUUAAAUCAUCCAUGGUCCCUAAACAUAAGUGCGAUCCAGACAUGUUCAAGUGUGUACUAUGUAGUACUAGUAGCUUUUAUUGUUUCUCUGUUUCAUGUCUGUCAUUUUGCUUCAAUUUUCCAAACAACAUAUAGAUGAAGCAGAAACAGAAAGAAAAUAGAAAUUCUUCUACCUGAGGACGAGACAUGUCAAAUAAUUUGAACAUUUCCUCGUGAAACUUCAAAAGUUUUGUGUUGAGCAAAUUCGGAAUUCUGAAAUUUUUGAUAUCUGACAUUGCCUAAUUGGGUGCGGCAGGGCUGGACCUCAACUGCGGCAACUUCCUGGCAGAGCACACGGUGGCGGCGGUGCAGGCCGGCGAGCUGUCGGAGGAGGACGUCGACCGGGCCAUCACCAACAACUUCAUCAUGCUCAUGCGCCUGGGCUUCUUCGACGGCGACCCCAGGGAGCUUGCCUUCGGCAGCCUCGGCCCCAAAGACGUGUGCACGUCUUCCAACCGGGAGCUGGCGCGCGAGACCGCGCGCCAGGGCAUCGUGCUGCUCAAGAACAACGGCGCGCUGCCGCUCUCGGCCAAGUCCAUCAAGUCCAUGGCCGUCAUUGGGCCCAACGCCAAUGCCAGCUUCACCAUGAUCGGCAACUACGAAGGUAUCAAUCAAAUUUCUCACUGCUGUUCACAACUUGAUACUAUGAUCAGCUUCACCAGGUGGACUAAAGUGUUUGUGUACUGACAAUGCCACCAGGCACGCCGUGCAAGUACACGACGCCGCUCCAGGGCCUGGGCGCCAACGUCAACACCGUGUACCAGCCGGGGUGCACCAACGUCGGCUGCAGCGGGAACAGCCUCCAGCUCAGCACCGCCGUGGCGGCCGCGGCCAGUGCCGACGUGACCGUGCUCGUCGUCGGCGCCGACCAGUCCAUUGAGCGCGAGAGCCUGGACAGGACGAGCCUCCUCUUGCCGGGCCAGCAGACGCAGCUCGUGUCGGCCGUCGCCAACGCCUCCAGGGGCCCUGUCAUCCUCGUCGUCAUGUCCGGCGGGCCGUUCGACAUCUCGUUCGCCAAGGCCAGCGACAAGAUCUCCGCCAUUCUUUGGGUCGGCUACCCCGGCGAAGCCGGCGGCGCCGCCAUUGCCGACAUCCUGUUCGGCAGCCACAACCCAAGUAAGUGCCGUUCCGUCUCUGCAUCAUUUUCUCUCAGGUGCUCGUCAGUGGUCACCACAUUAUGCCGAGCAUUCUCUGACGACCGAGCACUCUGUUUUGGUCAUGGACGCGCAGGUGGGAGGCUGCCGGUGACGUGGUACCCGGCGUCGUACGCCGACACGGUCAAGAUGACGGACAUGCGGAUGCGGCCGGACACGUCGACGGGCUACCCGGGGCGGACGUACCGGUUCUACACGGGAGACACGGUGUUCGCCUUCGGUGACGGGCUGAGCUACACGAAGAUGUCCCACAGCCUCGUGGCCGCGCCGCCGUCGUACGUGUCCAUGCAGCUGGCCGAGGACCACCCGUGCCGCGCCGAGGAGUGCGCGUCGGUGGAGGCCGCGGGCGACCACUGCGAGGACCUGGCCUUCGACGUGAAGCUCCGGGUGCAGAACGCCGGCGAGGUGGCCGGCGCGCACUCGGUGCUGCUGUUCUCGUCGCCGCCGUCGGCGCACAACGCGCCGGCGAAGCACCUGCUCGGGUUCGAGAAGGUGUCGCUGGCGCCCGGGGAGGCCGGCACGGUGGCGUUCAGAGUGGACGUGUGCAGGGACCUGAGCGUGGCGGACGAGCUGGGCGGCCGCAAGGUGGCGCUCGGCGGCCACACGCUGCACGUCGGCGACCUCAAGCACACCGUGGAGCUACGGGUCUGAUGGCCGAGGGUGAUCAAAGAAAAUUCCACGUAGGGAGGAUCGGUUUCAUUUGAUAGGGGAAAAAAAUGAUGGAUUUGGAUGGACCGACGGGGGGAAUGGGCCGUAGGAAUUGAUUUAAGGGAGGUGAAAUAACCAAUGGGCCUCUUGUUGAUACAAGAAAGAAUUGGAUCCACGGGGGGCUUUGGGAGUUGUUUUGUUGCGGUUGUUAAAUUCGAUUUGAUUCGUUUGGAAUUGGAGGGACGAUUUGCAACUGUAAUCUUUGAUGGCGUCUCUCAACUGUAAUUUAUUGGAAGGGGAAAUACCUCAUUUCAUCCACUCAAUUCCGUUCGAUUCACUUUACAAAAAAAAAACAAUUCAACUCACAUUUGUUUCAUGUGCUAAUCUCGGUGUUUUUUAUGGGUGCUUGCAUCACUGGAUGCAGAGGCCAGGAUCUUUUCCUCUUUUCGAAAAAAACCACUGCAUCGUUAUCUCUCCCUUGGUAGGUUGACGUUUGGCUUUCGGGUGCAUAUAUGUAAUUAUAAAAAUAUUCAAAAAUGCCAAAACUUUUUGGCAACAAACAUUAUCAAGUGGUAUACGUGUAUAAAAAGUUCUAUACCUGUCAGGAUAUACUGGAGAAAAAAAAACAAAGUCAACACUACAGAAGUUAUUGUUCACACUUUUUAUCCUUGGAAUUUCUUUUUGCGAAGAAUUCAACAGGAGUGUUUUUUGGUCAAAUUUUUAUAUGGGUACAACAAAAGGUCAAGUUUGUCCUAAAAAAGAUUGAUUUGUUGACCUUUUUGUAAUUAAUAAAAAAAAUCCCUAAGAGCCAAGGGAUUUUCCCCCUCUCCCGUACCUCUUUGUGCUCACACCUUCUCCAAUAGGACCAACCGGCGCUCACGCGUUGCCCCGCGUGGGCUGGCCACCCAACACUAGGGACGUCAACUGGGUCCCGUUUAAUCCCGUUUAAAGUUCACUUAUGAUAUGAUAGUUCAAAAAGGUUUUUUGUUUGUUUGAGAAAAAUGAACUAUCAAGCUAGCAAAAACUAACUAAAUAGGAUUACGGACGCCAUUUAUUUGCCACUUACAUCCCUACCCAACACGAGCUGGUGGCUUGCUCGGGUCGCGUUGAUUAACUUCACCAGAUGUCUUGACCUUUAACCUGACACGGUCACUUGACGUUGAUCAUUGACUUUUUUUAAAAGUUCACGUGUUUUGUAAAGUUCAUAUACCCCUUGUACUUCGUGUUGUGUUACUUUGUGUGUGUGGGUGAAUCUUGUUGUACUGUAUGGCUCUGGUGGUUUGCUUUAUCUAUAAAGCGGGGCGAAAGCCUUUUUUGGUAAAAAAAGUUCCCAUUUUUGAAAAAUCAUGGGUUCCAAGAAUUUAAGAAAAUUCAUUAAUUUGAGGGGAAAACUUCAAAAAUUUGAGGAAAAAAGUUCAGAAAAUUACACGAAUUUGAAAAAAAUAUGUGCUCUGGCUGACGCAUGACAACCAACGCUACAACCUCUCCCUCCUCGCGCUACAUCAACUGGCAAAGGGGAAAAUCUACGACGAGUUGACGAGUGAGGAUCCUAUGGUGCCCAUGGUCAUGGAGGUGGGCACUCUACAAGGCCGCACGCAGCGCUCAUGCAAGCUGCAAUGCGAUCACGAUGGAGGCGGAUGUAGAGGUGGCGCAAGCGACCGCAGACGAGAAUAUGGGCAGCUCCCCAUCAUUUGCAUCGGCCACGACGACCACGAGGCUGGUCAUGCAUCCACGUCGAUCGUGGACCUCACCUCGACCAGCAACGUCUACAGAGCAGACUUCAGCGAGGAAGAGUAGGAGGUGGGACAUAAAUAUGGCACAUCUCUUGUUCCAUGUGGGCCAUGUUCGUGUCUCAUGUCCUACUCUUCCCCUCGCCGUCGACGCACAACUUCACUUCCUAGAGCUCAUGGCCAUUGAGCACUUCAGACAUAGGGAAGACGUGGAACACAGGCGUCGCCACAGCCGACGAAAAUGUAGACUAGGUUUUGCUAUGUUAAAAAAUGUCACGUCUGCUUUUGUUUAAUGAAACGUGUCAAAAAUGUCAUGAAUUUAGUCUGGUUUAAAUGAAAAUCAUUUGGUUUGCAUAAAAUUUGUCUGGUUUGUUCGAAUUCCCGUUUGAAAUGUGUCCGGGCUUUUGAUGGAUAGGGUUGGAUCGCUGGCUCCCGUAUCACUGUACACUUUCACGGAAAAUACUAUGUCCUUUUUAGGGGAUAGUUUUGGAGAUGCACUUAAUUAAUAGAGCUAGUAGUUUUAGGUUGAUGUGUAAAGUCUUAAUAGAGCAUGUUGCUGGGGUUCGCUUUCAUGUUUGAAUUCUGUACAAACGUCGGUGGUUUUCUAACAGAAAUCGACGAGGGGCCCGUUGUUUUUUUUAAACCAUUACAGGAGUACAAUUUCUUGUAUCACACAUUACAAAAAAUACAUUUUUCCAAGAAGUUUGCCAUGCUUGCCUAUUGUUUUGCCACUACGGAGCAUUAUUGAGCGCUUUUAAGGUUUUUAUAUACCUAUAGGUCAAUGACAGGGAUCCGGCUUGCCUGCUCCCUCCUAUGCUUCCAUUCGUGCUCCCACUUCAUCCUACGGCUGUUUUUUUACUAAUCUAAUCAUCUCUCCCAUUGAUUUUAAGGGGGUGGGAUUGGACCUUAUUUUUGUUCCAAUCAAAUCAUGCCACGUAUGCGGGAGCACGGAUGGGCGCACGCGGGGGAGCAGGCAAGUCUCAUCCCAAUGACAGAGGUGAUCCUCUCCCGAAAACACGGUGAUACGGCCAGCACGUUGCAUUAUUCAAGUUUCAUCUCAUGCAAUCAUCCAGAUAUAUACUACAUCUAGAUACAUCUAUUUUUACGACAAGUAAUUCCGAACAAAGGGAGUAGCCGUGACUCGAGAUGGAUAAGCUUGACCCAUGCUACGUGCAUACAACCAAAACUGUACGUUCAUGUGCGACACCCACCUCCCGGUCGGUCCACGUCUCCUCGAGGAAAGCGUGAGCUAUUUGUAAAUCAGAAUGUAUUUGUUUUUCUGCAUGCAGAUAUUUCCCUGUUUUUUUCGGGGAAAAUAAAUAUUUCCCUGUUAAUGCAAGGUUACAGAAAGCUGUCACAGUUGCAUUUAGCACGCGGAAGUAAAGAAUGUUGUAUGUCCCUUGAAACCCUUACACUGCGUACGAUAUAUGCUCUUUCUUUCCGGAAAAUGAACGUUGGAGACUUAUAUCACACAAGAAAAUCACUGACCAAUGUUGUUGAACGCAAUAUUUUGUAGAAAUCUCGUACUCAAUGAGUAGGAGUACUACUCAAAUUAUCCCUUUCAUACGCGUGGCACAUGUGGUCUAAUGUUUAACUUUAACCACUCCAUCCGUCCCAAAAUAAAUGUCCUAAGUUCUUUGCUCAUAUUCACAUACGGUGAUAUUUUAGUGUCUUGGUUGGGGGUUUGGGGCUUGGAUCUGGUCGACCCUCGUAUCCAUUUGUGUGUCUACACUUCUUACCAUCGGUGACGGUUGUUGUUUCGACACGCUUUUUUUGAGGUCUAUCUACUACAAUAAGGUUUGUUUGACCUCAAUGAGGGAGGGGCGACGGCGUCGCGUCUUCGACUCGUUUAAGUGAUUGUAUAUGUAGUCAUCGCUAAGUGGUCCACAUACCAUACCUGAUUGUAAAUUCUGUUAUUUCUGAUCACAUUUGUAUUGCCACUGCAUAUUACGAACAGGUCGAACGAUUAUCCUAAUUAAAAACCUUUUUCUUGUGGCGCACAACACAAUAAUUUACAUCCUAGUCUCCCGGAAGCAUCUGAAAAACCAGUCGAGACGUAACAGAAAACGCAGGGAAAACCGACACAUAGACUUCUCCCUGCCAAAAAGGCUCAUGGAUGAAGCUGGAACCAGCGCAGCGAGGCCGUCACGCUCACCCCACGGCACCUAGUCCGGAUCCGAUCGAGCCUCCAACACCAAGAGAGGACGACAUGACGAGGAGAUGGUACAAGCUAGCAAGCCGGAGCACGAAAGCUUUUGGGCGGACGUCUCACCUCCCGCGCGCUGACUCUCGGACACGCGCGCGCGCGUCGCCGUCGGCCACCAACCCUUCUACUCGCCCGGUCGCCCCCACCUCUGUCCCUUCCGACGUGGCGUCGCCGUGCCGCGGCGGUGGUGGUUGGAUCCACCCGGCGCGGGGCUGCCCUACUCAACUAACCCGUUUUCCGGCCCACCGGAUACGGCCCGUGGUUUUUCCCCGGAGGUGAAACGCCCUCCCCGUGUCGCCAACGGACGCGCGUACGCCGGCCCGGUGGAGGCUGACCUCGGCAGAUCAUUUUCUUGCGAGAAAGAAAGAGCGCCUUUCGACGCAACGCAAGUUUCACUCAUCUAUCGGUCGAGAAGUGGCCCGGGAACCAAGCGUCAAUUAGUGCGUCUCGUGAGUAAAAUUGUCUCUUGGGUCUUGCUUGCCAUCGAGUCCCGUCUACGUCUGGGCGUGCAGCUCAAUCCAAGUUCAAAGUCCCGCCCGCGGUGGAAGACCUCAGGUUUCAGAGAACUGGCAAGUUCUAGACACACACACAUUAUGUCAUCCAUCAGGAAUUCUAACCAAAUGCAGGAUAAAUUUUUAAAUUGUUCGAAACUUCACAUGAGGUGCACAGUGUCUAAUUCCUCAUAUACUACAAUAAUUGGAAAUAUCAUUCUUCGUGAAACAAAAUGCCGCUUGAAUAAAAAUAGCAUGCAUCUUUCAUAUAUGUUGCGUCAAAUUUAUAAUCUUUUUUUUUGUUUUGUUUUGAAACUAGAAUGCUGCAUCUUGAUAUGUGCAGGAACCAGGAAACCUUUCCAUUUCUUGGGAUGGGAUUUUGUAGCCGAUCCUUGAACCGAAAGUCCCGGGCUUCUCGACAAGCAACCAAACCACCCACUCUGCCUCGUGGCAUAUAUAUAAAGGCCUCCGCAACGCAACGACAAACCACCGAUCUCUUCUGUCUCUUCUUCCCUCCGCCGCGGCGCCGCCCGCCACGCCACCCGCGUAUCCAUCCACCACCGUUCCCGCGAUGGCCGCCGGCAUACUCAACACCCAGCCCCGCCUCUGCUAAUCACGGAUGAUUUUCUGUUAACUUCCUGCCACUCGCCUCGUCUGGCCGGAGGGAGAGGAGAUGGACGCCGGCGUGGGUCUCCGGCCGAGGCCCCGUGCAGCAUGGGCCGGACGACGGAAGCCGCAGGGAUUCCCUCCGGCGACAGUGCCGGCGGCGAGGCUUGAUCAGAAUCCGGCGCGGCGGCCGCUGGUCCUGCGCCCCGAUGCCAUCCGUGGCGCCAGCCUCAAGGGCCUGUGCUGCCACAAAUCGGCAGGUAACCAACCAACCAACUGGUCGUGCUCCUUCUGUUGCAUGUCAACUAGCAGUACAAUUUCUGCCGCCAACUGGGUGCAACAAAGAUUAAUUAGUACCACCACUACACCGGAUAAGAUGAUCUUGCCAUGUCAAUGACGACUCAUUGCAACGCUUUGUUAAACAUUCAAGUGGACCAUGGUGAUCUCAUUUGCGUGUCCCGCUCCUGUGAUCUUCACAUGUCAGCUAUCAUUUUCUGUUUCUUCUUCAAUCAAGUUGCCAACAAAAUAUGGUUCCAUGUUCGAAAGAGCAUAUGCCUUGAAAAUUGCGAGUACAACAAAAAAAAUCAUCAAACUUUCUUCUGAUCUAGUACAAAAAACAGAGUAAUAGACUUUUCACAAUGUUUUUUAUAGCAUACUUCAUCCAUAUAUAUGAAUCCAUUAACAUGCUUUUGAUGGCAUAUAACACAUGUUUGAUUAAUCAUCAAAAUCAACGACCUGGAAACACACGCACACCAUAUGCACCCCUCCGAUCCGGAGGGAGUGGCAUUUUGUUUGCUAUUUCUUUAAUCAAGUUGCCGACAAAUAUAGUACCGUGUUCGAAAGAGCAUAUGGCUUGAAAAAAAAUGAGAGGUCAGCUUUAAUGGCAAAAUGCAUCCAACUUUAUUCUGGAACUAAACAAACAGAGUAAUACACUUUUCAAGAUGCUUUCCUCUUCUGCUUUCCAAACAAUUAAGCACGCCAGCCUGAGAUUGUACUACCUUUUUUCUCUUCAGGAGACACGAGUAACCAAGGUUUGGCACGGCUGUAAAAUUGUUCCAGUUUUGGUCUUAAGGGGUGGGUUGUGUUGGCCUUUGUUGCAUGGCACGCUUCAGACAUGAGAAUCGUCGAAGGAGCAGACAGAAAGUUAGGACGAUUCCGUGCGGAUUUCCUAGAGGAUCCGUUAGUAGCGGUGCAAUCAGCAAUAUUAGUUGGGUACCUCGGGAGCCUUUUGUUCCGCAUCAGUCACCAACUGCAAGUAGCCAUUGAAAUGGACAUAAACCUAAUCACAAUCACAUCAAACAGCCAUGAGCUAUUUAGAUUGUAGUGCCUACGAAUUUCUAAAAAUUUGUGGUGUGUAUCAUGAGACUCCAAAGAAAUAUCAUGGAUCGCAAAUAAGUCCGCAAAGAUUGAGUAGUCUCUGCAGUAUGCUAUCGAGGACAAACCAUAGAAGUCAAAGAGAGUGCUAUCGAAUGAUUGUGAUCUGACGUGCACGUACGAUUGCAGGUACUGAGAAAGUCCACUAUUCUGCUGAUGAUGCUCUCCUACUAAAGGUUAGUAGAUAACGCAAUGGUGUUUGAGAAAUUCACAGAGUUCAUCAACGAACUGCAUAUUUGUGUUGAUAUAACUGACCUCUAUGUUAACUGCAGCAAAAAGCAGAGGACGUGCUCCCUUACCUGAAUGACCGAUGUGUUUAUCUAGUUGGUUAGUUCUUACCCCCACAUCAGCUCUAUAAUUUGAAUGGAUCCCUUCAUUAUGUAUUGCCUAUCUAAUAUGUGUAUGCAUCUAUAUGUAGGAAUGAUGGGUUCCGGCAAAACUACAGUUGGGAAGAUAAUAGCUGAAGUACUAGGCUAUUCAUUCUUUGACAGGUUUGAAUUUCCCUCUGAUAACUACAUCAACUGAUAAAAGCCAACCAAGAUGUUGUUUCAACUAACUUUUGAGUGAUCACGGUUUAAUAACUUUACCGGUGUUCUCCCUUCACAGUGAUAAGCUGGUUGAGCAGUCUGUUGGCAUACCGUCGGUCGCUGAGAUUUUUCAGGUCCACAGUGAAGCAUUCUUCAGAGAUAACGAGGUGUGCGCUUAUUUUUCUUAGUGAUAAUAGGAUAUAACUCUAUUUCUUUCUAUCGAGGAUUGGAAAAUUACUCAAAAAUCCUACAGGCAGUUUUUUUAUUUCUCUUGUGCAUGAUGUAGUUUGCCAUCGUCCACCUUAAAUAUUCAUGCUGUGAUAUAGUAGUGGUCUACAAUACUAAUCUCGUCUACAACUACCUUUAAUCAAGCUUUCUGAUAUUCUCUUAUUUCAUUCGACUUCUCAAGAGUGAGGUACUAAGGGAUUUGUCGUCAAUGCACCGAUUAAUUGUUGCAACAGGAGGUGGUGCGGUGAUACGACCAAUCAAUUGGUACUGGAAGUGAUAAACUAGCUCGAGUUGCUCUUCAAGGCAAAGCUUGCUAAGUUUUUGGCGUGAAAUUUGCAGGAGUUAUAUGAAGAAAGGACUCACUAUUUGGUUGGAUGUUCCAUUGGAUGCCCUUGCAAGAAGGAUUGCUGCGGUGGGUACUGCAUCACGACCCCUCCUGCAUCAGGAAUCUGGUGAUCCUUAUGCAAAGGUUGUUUGCUACUGAUGCUCUUAUUUAUUUCUUCAAUUUGAGUUUGGCAUGCAGACAGAGCUAAUGAUUUUUUGUUUUCCCACGCAGGCCUAUGCCAAACUUACAGCACUUUUUGAACAAAGAAUGGACUCAUAUGCUAAUGCUGAUGCUCGAGUUUCCCUUGAGAGUAUGUUUCCUAACGAGUUAGAUAACACCAUUAUACGCAGUUCUUGUUUCAUUCUAGUACUCUGUACUACUACAAAGGUCUACAUGGUCCACCAAUAUGAUGCAUUUUGCUCGCGUUCAGUUUUUACACCAUUGCUAACUGUAAAUACAAUUAUCCAUAAUGCAGAUAUUGCAUUCAAACAAGGACAUAAUGAUGUGAAUGUACUUACACCAAGUGCCAUCGCUAUUGAGGUAUUUGAGCAUUUCUAACUUGGUUAAGAUGAUCUUUUGAACCGUGCCUGACUGGGAUUUCUACCUUCCGUUCUUCCAGGCAUUGCUAAAGAUGGAGAGCUUUCUUACUGAGAAGGCCAUGGUCAGAAACUGACCAAAUCUCGGUGGUUACAAAGAAAGAUGACAACCAAUGGUUCUUGGUUGCCGUGAUGUACAUACCUUUGCAUAAGACAUUCUUCUGAUAUAGCCAGAGCUAUGACAGAGGAUAACUUGGGUUUUUACUUGAGUGAACUAUAUGUGAAUAGCUCUAAAUUAAGACAAUGUUUGUCUUGUCUUUAUCUUGCUGCGAUUUGAUAUAUGGGAUUUGGGAGUAAAUAGCUAUAUCAAUCCCUUGUACAUUUUGAAACAACCAGAAUUUACAUCAAUAUAUUACUUUGAGGCAAAGUGCAGUUCUCGAAAAUUUUAUAAUAGCAUAGAUCUUAACACAAGUAUGUUCGUUACAGCAUGAUAAGGGUGCCUCUUUUUCUUUCGAGAUAUGUACAUGUUCUCUCAACAAAGAUGUACAGGGAAAGUAUUAUAUCCAAAAUAAUCAUGGCUAAGCCAAUAGUUGGAUCUGACCUAUUUGAUAAUGCUACUGUACGGGAAACAAAUCUCCCUAUACAUCUAGCGUAUAGCUAAACAGUUAAAGGAAAACAUUGCAGGAAGCUGAGAUUGAAAACCUGUACAUGUAGGCUUUAACUUCAUAUGAACAUUCUUCUGAUGGUUCUUGCAACAGCACGAGAUAAAACAAGAUUAGUUAAAUCCGCAGGCAGGAGGAGAAGCUGCUGUUGGGACUCUGGUGAAAGCUGCAUUGGAGAAGAGUAUGUGCAAAAAUGAGUUCGUGGAGCUCUGGAUUUAUAAAUACACGCCACAUGAAUUUUUAUACAUAAUCUCAUUCAACACGUAUGUUCCUUCUUACCUCAGGAAUGACGGAAAGAACUGGCAGAAACUCUGGAAAAGACCUCAUCUCAUUUAACACAAGAGACAUAUCAUCUGCGCCAUCAUCUCCUUUCUCCCCAGUGCUUUCAUGUCCAGGAGCCUGCAAAACUUGAAUGAUAAAUGCAGGCUACACACACGUGUUGCAUCUUGCAAUGUCAAUAGAUCAGCUGGAUUUACACGAGAUGAAGUGCUUUAGCCCAUUUUAAUAUAAAAACCAAUGUGUAAUCUGAGUAUUAUUUUCACACCUUGUAGUUAGUUUCGGCUCAAAGAGAACAAUUUCACAUAUAAAUCAUUGCGCACAUCACUUAAUGUGAUUACCGAAUCUAAUUAGCACGUCGCAAAUAUAAGCUCCAGACUUUAUCUUUUCAGUUAAGUCUAGAAUUCAUUUCUUUCUGAAAAGGUUCUUUUAUCCUCAGCCGCCUGCUUAGUUAUGUAAUAUACUCUGCUAUAAGCUGGAAGCAUUUUGUGCAUUCCAUUGAUACAUAGUGAGAAGUCACGACAUUCGAGAAGGCGUCCAAGACUACUCUACAUAGAUCAUCACGCUCAGUCGCUCAUGAAUGUUGAAAGUUUUACUUACCCGUGAUGAGUUUUCCUUCUGAGGAGUCUUAGCUACAAGUAGGAGAAGGCGGUAGAGGUUUCUCAAGUUAGUGGCCUCCUCGUUGUUCAGUGAUGGCGAUGGGGAUGGUGCAAAUGGCAAUCUUGAGGCUGCAGCAGACGUUACAGAACUUAAUGUGGCCACUCCAAGUGCAUCUAGUCCCUGCAAACAUUAUCAUUACAGAACUUAAUGUGGCUACUCCAAGUGCAUCUAGUCCCUUUACCUUUGAAUAAAAGGUGUCACUUCGUUUCCAGCAUUUCUCAAAAGAGAAAUAUCAUUUCAAGCAAAAAUGCAUGACAGCAGAGAGAAUUCCUUAUCUACUAAGGGCAACCCUAAAUAAAACAAAAUUAAACAUGGAAUCACUGGAAGAUGACCCACAUGAAGUACAUCAGAAUUUUAUAUUAUAUGGAGCCAAAUUGCAUUUAUGCCUUCAUUGCAAAGCUACAUGACAAUUUGCGGAAUUUCUUCGCACAAAAAUUCAAAUUCAAAAGCAAAAAAUAUAUUGUCUGAUAGCUAUUUCAUCAGUUGACACAUAAACUCACAUGAAGCCAACAGGGCAAUGGAAAGUGCACAUCUAACAAGCUAACUGACCUUAGCAAUCUCCUGAAGAAGUAAAUCCUUCACAAAGGCACCCUGGAAAGAGUUCAGACAUGGCUAAUUAUCUGACUGAGUUCGAUACUAUCAAAUAACUACCAAUCUAUCUCAGUUUUACCUGUUCAGUGAGUGUAAAUGACAGCACUUGUUUAAUUGCAAAUCUUGAACUAUCACUUUCAUCUUGUUGAGUUCUGACCAAGGUCUGCUCUGUUCUGGCCCGGAGCGACUGUAAGAAGAAAACAAAAACAGUGAUGUACCAAGAAGGUAAGAAUAAAGUACAUAAAAUCAGAAAAGACAUACUUCCCACGACCCAACAGUUUGACAAAACUGGCGGAUUCUACCACUUUACAGAAUUUAACAGAAGCAAUCAUCUAGAAUCGUAUCAGGUAUGGAGUGGUAGAUGUUAAGACAAGAGCCUCAAGUAUGGAGUGGUAGAUGUCAAGAGGCGUGGGGACCAGAUUAUCCUGGUCAAGCUGGUAGCUGGGGACUUAGUUCUCAAUGUUAUCAGCGUGUAUACCCCGCAAGUAGGCCAGAAUGAGAACACCAAUAGGGGGUUCUGGGAAGGCCUGAAGGACAUGGUUAGGAGUGUGCUUAUUGUCGAAAAGCUCUUCAUAGGAGGAGAACUCAAUGGCCACGUGGGUACAUCUAACACAGGUUUUGAAGGGGUGCAUGGGGGCUUUGGCUAUGGCAUCAGGAAUCAAGGAGAAGAUGUCUUCAGCUUUGCUCUAGCCUACAACAUGAUCGUAGCUAACACCCUCUUUAAAAACAGAGAAUCGCAUCUAGUGACUUUUAGUAGAGGUCAACACUCUAGCCAGAUCAGACAGCAGAGCUACGGAGACAAACCUUGGAAUCGAAAGGUUUUAGGCUUAGUAGAACUAAUACCGAGUACAUGAGGUGCGGUUCAGUACUACUAGGGAUGAGGGGGAGGAGGUUACCCUUGAUGGGCAGGUGGUACCUCAGAAGGACGCCUUUCAAUAUUUGGGGUCAAUGCUGCAGAAGGAUGGUGAUGUCGAUGAAGAUGUGAGAAAGCCGGAUGGAUGAAGUGGCGCCAAGCUUCUGGCGUUCUUUGUGACAAGAGUGCCACAAAAGCUAAAAGGCAGGUUCUUUACGACUGCGAUUGACCCACAAUGUUGUAUGACGCUGAGUGUUGGCUGACUAAAAGGUGACAUGUGCAACAGUUAGGUGUUGCAGAGGUGCGCAUGUUGAGAUAGAUGUGUGGCCGCACAAGGAAGGAUCUGGUCCGGAAUGAUGAUAUACGAGAUAGAAUUGGGGUAGCACCGGUUGAACAGAACCUUGUCCAACAUCGUCUCCAGAAGCUCCAAUGCAUAGCGGACGGCUAAAAUGUGCUUGUAUAAUGUCUAGAGAGGUCGGGGUAGACCAAACUUGACAUGGGAGGAGUCCGUAAAGAGAGAUCUGAAGGACUGGAAUAUCACCAAAGAAUUAGCCAUGGACAAGGGUGCGUGGAAACUAGCUAUCCAUGUGUCAGGACCAUGAGUUGGUUGCGAGACCUUAUGAGUUUCAGCUCUAGCCUACCCCAACUUGUUUGGGACUAAAGGCUUUGUUGUUGUUGUAGUCAUCUAGAAUCGGUGACAAGUCGGCGCGAGUGUAUGCUAAAUGGUUAACAACUCAAUGAAAAGAAUUUUGAAAUUUAAUAAACCACCAUUUGACCAUAAGCCGGCAAGAACCAACUGGCUGGUUCCCAAUAUGAAUAUGCUAGAAAGUUUUGUUGCUUUCACAUGUCUCAAAGAGGCCUUACAUCAGAUUUCAAAUAAUGAACCGUUAUUCAUGUGAGGGCAAAUAAAACCAUCAGCAUAUGCAUAUAUCUGUGAGGAAAUAAACCAACCUCGGUUAACAAAGACUCCAAACGGUCAAUCUGGAAAGUGCCAUCCUGCAAUACAUUUUGGUUAAAGAAGACAUAAGAUGUUCGCUAUAACUGGCAGAAGUUGCAGUAGACAAAGAAUGAACCUGCAACAAAAUGACUUGCUAGCACGAUGACACGAUCUCAUCGCAAUUCAAAAUGUCUGAAGAGUGAAGACAACAAGGAAAAGCAGACCUUAUAAAGUAGCGUGUACAAUGUUGACCGAAGAUUAGGUGAGUUGUCAGUGAGAACUUUUCUUGCAAUCCAUGGGUAUGAACUGCUCAAGACUUUGUAGUUGGGAUUGAAGCUGAUUGCAAUGCCUUCCAAGACAGCAAGACUGAAAAAUCACAUGGAAAGCCUCUCAAAUGUAACACACGGAUCAUUUAUAAACCAAUUAGUGUAAAUAUAUAUUAAAAACUGCAUUCUGCCUUUUUGGAAGCAGUUUGGCAGUUUCUUGUCCAUUAUAAAAUGUAUUGACUAAUAGCACUAUCGAAGUUACGAGAAAAAUUUAAUUCAUUAGUACCUUCGGAUUACAAGAGAGAAGUAUGAAGGAAUCUGGAACUUGAAUUUAUACCUGAAACAAGGUUAGCUCUAGUAAAUGAAAUUAAUAUAUCGAGGGCUUGCACUACAUUCCUUUUUGCAUAAACUAAGAUCAGUACAUUGUUUGCCCAAGAUUCCCUGACAGAUCUCCAAAGCUUAUAUUUUGAACUCCUUUGUUAACUGCACUUUCAAAUACACCUGAAAUGGCAAACACAGAAUAAAGAGUGAUAUGCAAGAUGGACAUGUCUUAAAAUUAAUUACAUUUCUUAAUAUUAGUGACAUUCGUCUGAAGCUGGAGUACCUGUCAAUGCCGUUGUCACUUCAUCUUUCUGAGCAGUUGCAGGAAGCAAACUACAAGAGAUUUAAAGGCAGGUCAGAUCUACUUAGUUAUGGUGAUAUCCAGCAGGAAAAAGGAAGUUAUUUCUGAUAACUGGCAUCUAUCUGCAUGCACAAAAUUUCGUAAGCUUAGUGAUAUCAGUGUUUUUCUUACCCAAGAGUAACAAAAUCUUUUGCUAAACCAUCAAAAUCCCGAUUAACAAGAUGUAGACAAGCUUCAAUAAAUCCAUCACGCAGUUCUUGUCGGAAUUCUCCCAUCAUUCCAAAAUCUGCAUAAUGAAUAGAGUAUUUGAAUUAGCUAGACAUAGGGCUUCAUGUAAUUGAUUGUGAAGCAAGGAAGCAAAUUAGGGACCCAAUGGUAACUAAGAUUUUAAAGUGGGUAAGCUAUGUAGGAAUAGCACAGUAAAACAAUUACCUAAGUAUGCUAGCUUCCCAUCAAUUGUACGUAGAAGAUUUCCAGGAUGUGGAUCUGCAUGAUAAAAUCCAUAUUCCAAAAGCUGGGAAAGUGAACAGUAUACUCCAACCUACAAUGUAGCAAAUCCCAGCAGAUCUAACUCGUAAGAGUGUUUACUGAGAUCCAAUAUUUACUUGAUUUACUCGAGUCCUGAUUUGCGCUGCUUUACCUCAACCAGAUAUAGAUCUCUAACUUCGGACAACCUUACCCCCUACAAGGUCACACUAAGUAAGUCAAUAAGUAGUUAUUUAUGCAAUAUUGUGCAUGUUUGGUUGCUAACAAGUGAAUAAAAUCAUAGACUGCACCUCAACCCAUUCCAUGAUAAGGACUCGUCUUCUCGUCUGUUCCAGAUACAUUUCUGGAACCAUCACAUCUCUAAGUUUCCCAUAUAAUUCCCUGAUACAGAAAGGAAAGUACAGGGUUGAUAUUGAUGCUAUAAUACAAAUAUCAAGCUUGUAUAUUGUUCUUGCCAUAAAAACAAAGAAUUUGCAAAACUUCUGAAAUAUGAUAAUAGAAUCCUCAGUUCUUAAUUAUCCACCUUCAAUACAUCUCCAUACUCUUAAACAUAGUUUCCAUGUGCUAAGUUGCAAAAGUAAUUCUAAGAUCAGUUGUCCUUCACAAAUUUGGGUAUAACAGAGUACACACAUUUAUUUUUUAUAUUUUUUAGUGGAAUGGUCAGAUUAUUUGAACAAAAUCCUAGUUAGUGGUGUUUCUGGAGACAACUAGUCGGUUUGGUGAUUGCAAGGGCUUAGCUAACAGAUGACCAUAUGUCCGUAAACUAAUAAAAUGGUUCGAACUGCAACUCCAUCCAAAUUACUUAUGCUCGAUUAUCUAUGUUGAUUGUUUUCCCGAAAUUUUGACUGACAUAGUGAUAAUAUUAGAUGGAGUAAUUAAACAAGAUUUUGGCUUGUAAAUGAACAAGUAACUGAAAACAUUGACUGAAAUAGUGAUCAUAUUGGAUAAGUAAUUGAACAAGAUUUUGGCCUGUAAAUGAAGAACGCAACCUGAACUUAAGUCCAUUUCUUGCUUCUUCUCUAUAAUCCAUCUCCUGCAUCAAAUGUGAUUUACCUGUAUUCAAUGCAAAGCUCUAAGAAUAUGCCCAUAACUUUCUAAAGAAAUAUCAAGAUUUGCUAAUAUAGUUUUGCAAGUGACAGAAGCAGACUUGCUAAUAUAACUGUACGGAAUGCUUGGAGCUUUAGCUUAAAUGUUUUGCUUGCUUCCUCUCUGAAGCCUGAUCCACAACCUAAUUUGGAUGAUGCUUCUAUAAUAGUUUUCUAGUUAGCUUUUAUCUUCUAUAAAUAGUCCACUGAAAAAAUGCUUAAAAGAAUACUUCUGAAGCCUGAUCCACAACCUAAUUUAGAUGUGUAUGAAGGUGUUGGCAAAAAAAAAAAGAAUGACUCUAACUGACGGUUACUUUCCUACCUCUACCUGACCUAAUCUUAUGCCAACACCUUCAUACACAUUAUCGCCAAAUUGAGUACUUCAUGUAUGACAUGAGUAGAAGUAACCAAGUAAAAGAACAAGUACAUACAUAAAUUUACCAAAAGAUACUAUAUGAGCAUGCAUAGAAAAGUUACCCGAAAUAGACUUGACGCCCAUUCAUCAAGGACAGCCUGCACGUGAGGUAGCAAAUAUAUACGAUCACAAAUUAAGUAAAUAUAAAUAUGACAAAAAAAGCAAGAAAAUAGGACAGUAGAAAAUUCAUUUAAAGAGGAGAAUUCUCUCUUCCUUUUCCAUUUGAUUUGCUUUGUGUCUUUAAAAGAGGAAAACUGGAAAGCAUAUAGGAGUCUGGCCUUACCUGAAGGUCUGUGUUGAACUUGCCAACCUUCCUGGCAACACCAGCGAGGAACCUCAAGAUAUAGAUAUCCAAGGAAAUUACGGCUUGGACUCCAGGCCUUUGUACUUUGACGGCAACUAACUUCCCAUUGGAACGUAACCUAGCCUGGUAAACCUGCAACAGUAAGAAUAUAACAUGUCAUAUCAUCCAAAAUGAGAGCAACUGACAGAUGGCCAUACACUGAAGGAAGUAGGAAGUGUUGUUUCACCAAUAGUUAACAAUAUCAUGGUUAAUUAGUACGGAUCUGAAACAUCGUGAAGUUCUGAGAUUCUCAUGGUCCCCAUCCUACUAGUUUGUUCAUUUUCCUAUUAGCUGCUUCCAACAUGCUAAUCUAUGAAAGUAGAUCCUUGUAAUUACUUUAGGGAGGUGUAUAGGCAUACAGAGCACUAAGUUGCAUAUCAGAUUUCGUGCUUGAAAUUUCAAAAAUAAACAAGGGGGACAGGUAUCGUACAGCUGAACUUAACUAUCUAAGCAAAACCGACUGGAAACAGUCACGGGACAUUGCUCUGAUUCUGUAGCUAAAAUGAUGAAGGUCUGGUUAUUAAAUCCUGGGAGAAGGCAAUUGAAUCCUUGAUUCAUUACAAAAAUGAUAGAAAACAGACCUGCCCAAGAGAUGCAGCAGCAACAGGCCGUGGUGACAUUUCAGAGAAAAUCAUGUCGAGUGGCAUCUGAAGCUCCUUUUCUAUGAUAUCAAAAGCAAGCUCGGUGGAAAAUGGUGCUAUGCGGUCUUGAAGUAGUGAAAGUUCAUCAAGGUAUGCAGGAGGAAUCACAUCCUGCAGCAAAUGAAACAAAGGUGGUCACAUCCAUGUCCCGUCAGCCAACAAUGAUUUGAAAGGAAUAAACUAAGCGCCUUCUCUACGGUUUAAAUCAGUGCUGCAGUCUGAAAAUGGUGUACAGAUAGUCAUCAUUUCACAGUUCACGAUAUGCCAUUCACCAAACAAGUAAAAUUUGUGGUCCACACAACUGAUGAAGAUGCAACGACUAGUUGGCUGGCGAAGCUCACCGGCCGUGAGGAAACUGCUUGUGCGAUCUUCACAAAUGCCUGUCAUCAAAAGAGCAGCAAGGCGUUAAUCGCCAUCACCUACACAUGGACGAGGGCACGCACAAGCACGCGUUGGAAGAGGAAGCAUACCGGGCCAAGUUCCAGUAGAAUCCUCCUUAGCUGAGCAGCCCUGACCUGCAUUGACACCAUCAAAAUCAUCCCGUGACCCAAACACAACGGGUGGGAAUUUAAUCAAACAGUAGCCGCGCGUGCUGCGGCGUGCGCGAGACGAAUGGCGGCCGUGACGCGAGGCGGGGCGUACCUCGAACAUGUCGUCGGCGCGGUCGUUGAGGCUGUCGAGGUAGCGCAGCGCGAACCAGCGGCCGAAGGAGGUCCCGAUCUGCAGCGAGCGGCGGAGCACGAGGAGCGGGCGGCGGCCGUACACUCUGGCGAUGCCGGGGAUGUCGUACGCGGUGGGGAGGUCCCCCUCCGUCGCCAGCCCCUCCUCGAACAGGUACCCCGAGCACCUGGUGAAGGCGUCCUCCUCCGAGACACCACCGGCGCCGUAGCCCGAGGCGGCCCGAGGACGCGGCCCCCGGGCGGCGGGCCUGACCCGCAGCGCCGGGGCAGGGAGCGGGAGCGGGAGCGGGCGGAGGAGAAGCAUCUCGGCGCGUCGAACGCUCGCCGGGGAUUGCCGAAUGCCGAGCCGGAUGGGGCAGAGGAAGACGGAGUGGGCCGUGGGGAUUGGGCGCCAAGAGGAGCGAGGGGAGUGGUUUGCAACGGCGUGAUUUAUUGCGGCCCGGGAUUUUCGCCGGGCGAGCGAGAGACGGCAUUUUCGGACGUGGGUCUCGGAUCUUCCGCGGAGGAGAUCGGGCGGCGCGGAGCGCGACACCGUGUCGGAUCAAACUGAAGCUCGGCAACGUGUCGCGUGCCGGGCUCUGGGAUUCUGAAAGCUGUGUUAUCCCCUUCGCUUGGCGGUCGGCAGCGGCAGCAGAAGAAAGAAAAGGCAUGGCGAUCGUGGCGGGUCUCGUCGCGCCGGCCGCGAAACCUCUCGGGCUCUCCGGCGCGCGGCGGCGGCAGCACCGGGGCCGAUGGAGAGUUGCGGCGGCGGCGGCGGCCGGGGUGGACCUCAAGGCGCUCGGGUCCGCCAUCGACAAGGUGAAACACCGCAGCUACGUUCUCUCCUGCUCGCUUCUGAACGUAUAGAAAAGCAAGCUGGGCGGAACUAAGCUGAGGAUGAGUUGGCGUGGUACAGAAGGACAGCCAGGAGGCCAGGCAGGCGCUGGACGAACUCAAGGAGCUGGGCUGGGCCAAGCGGUGGAGCUCGCAGCCCUACAUGUCGCGCCGCACGGUCAGUCACCGCUACUACUAGUAUGCCCUGCAUCAAACAUUUGGAAUUUGCAGUUUUCGAGUGUGGCAUAGUGUUCGAUCAAUGUGGUGUGCUGCUCCAACUGAUGAACCUUGCUUGUUUUCUCAACUGCGUUUGAGCAGACGUCUCUGAGGGAGCUCACCAACCUCGGGAUCAAGAACGCCGAGAACCUCGCCAUCCCGAGCGUCAGGAACGAUGUAAGGCAUGCCGUGCUAUACGAAUCGUAGUAGUGUCAGAGCUAGAUUAUCUUGCAUUGUUCAUACUCUAAUUCUGCAUUUCAUUUGGUCUGAUCAUGCAUGCAGGCGGCGUUUCUGUUCACGGUCGUCGGCACCACCGGAUUCCUGGCCGUCCUUGCAGGCCAGCUCCCCGGGGUACUACUCCCUUUCCAUAAGUGCUGAAACAGUCCACUGAACCGUCGAGUGACUUGCAAAACUUUGUCAUGUUCCAUUUGAGCUUAAUAGACUGCAAUGCAAUAGAUCGUCUGAACUUCAGAAAAUUGUAUAUUUCUCAGGAUUGGGGCUUCUUCGUUCCCUACUUGACCGGAAGCAUUUCCUUGCUAGUACUAGCCAUCGGAAGCAUAUCUCCAGGGUAUGUUUGAAUGUUUCAUCAGAGUACUAAUUUGCAUACUCAGAGAGAAAAACAAAUGUUGCACACUAACAAAAAAACAGCGCUAAUGUUGCAUCUAUCACCGCAGUCUUCUGCAGGUUGCAAUUGGUUCUUUUUCUGCAGUUUUCCCUGACUACCAAGAGAGAAUUGCUAGGCAUGAAGCUGCUCAUUUUCUGGGUAGGUGCUCUCUCUCUUUCGCUGCAGCAAGAGUAUAUCUGCAGCUAGGAACUUACUGACUGUAAUGCUCUCCUUGUGAAUUAGUUGCCUAUUUGACUGGCCUACCUAUCCUGGGAUAUUCUUUGGACAUUGGAAAGGAGCAUGUUAACCUCGUUGAUGACCAGCUACAGAAGCUGCUAUACAGCGGUCAGCUCGACCAAAAGGAAGUGGACAGGUGAUUCUUGAGUUAAACCUGUCAGUAGCAUCCAUGUCCAAUUUUUGUGUAUUUGUAUUUAUUCUGCAUUUGGUUCAGUUGAUGCAUCCAAGACUUAUAACUUCAGAAAUUACGCCGUAUCCGCGCUUCAGAAAUUAGGCCGUAUCCGCGCUGCAGUAUAACUUGAUCGAUACACUUACCUGCGCCUAAAAGAACAUGAAAGCAAGGGUUUUUGAAAAUGCUGAGAUGACGCCAAGAGCCUUGGUGAAUCUCAUUCAAGAAGAUUUCAAGAUGCUCAACGAGGCCUUCCGUCCUUCCAUUCAGGUGGCUGGGUAGGAACAGGGUGUAGGAUGGUGUCUUCUUUUUUUAUCUCUGUAGCUCUCUGUUUCAAGAGCUAGUUUUGUCUUCGGUUCGUGGGGCACUUUUGCCGCCUCUACCAGUACCAUGUAACUUUAUAUCUCCUACCAUCUAUAAUGCAAAGGCAGAGCUCCUGCUGUUCUCGUCAAAAAAAAAAAAGAACAUGAAAGCUAUGAUCAGAAAUAUGAGGAGCUACUGAAUGAAUGAAAUAUGUAAUGUGUCACCAGGUUGGCUGUGAUCUCCAUGGCCGGACUGGCUGCUGAAGGCCUGGAAUACGACAAGGUCGUCGGCCAAUCAGCCGACCUAUUCACCCUUCAGGUGAUCUACUGCUAAUCCAUCACCUCCUUUCAGCAUCAGCAUUUCCACUGUUCUUUUCCGAUGUCUCCUGAAAAUUUCACCUGAAGAAUUCAUCCCCGCCUGCCUGUCUGCAUUGCAGAGGUUCCUGAACCGAACUAAGCCGCCGCUAGGCAAAGCACAGCAGCAGAACCUUACGAGAUGGGCGGUGAGUUGUGAUACCUAUCGUCUCAUUCUGAAGCGAAGUAGCAGCAGAAGAGAAAACCUGUUGCAUACAUGCUAGUGUUGGGCUGAUGCAACGGAUUGCUUUUGGCUUUUUUGCAGGUCCUGAUUGCAGCCUCGCUUCUGAAGAACAACAAGGCGGCGCAUGAUGCCCUGGUGUCCGCCAUGUCGCAGAAGGCCACCGUGCUCGGGUGCAUCGAGGCAAUAGAGAACGCCUCCUGAUUACGGUGUAAUUUAACUUGAGUGUCCUAACAUGGUUGAGAUAGCUAUAUUGUUGAGAAAAAGAUAUACAGGAGUAUUACUGAAAGGAACGGUGUUCUUUUCUCUCUCUCUCUGUCUCGGUGCCAAACUAUUCAUCACUAGUUGGUUGAGGCGUCCCUCGACAGUCAACAUUUUGACUGCUGAACGCUGACUCAAGUUUGUACAUAUCUGAAAGACAACAACCAAAUGCAUGCAUGCAGUGGAAGUCGAGGGCACAAUUUCGUCUGCACCCUCGCAACAUUCAGUUACUUUUCCUAGACACAGAUGCUGCACCCCAAUGGUUUCGAAAAACAGAUGCUGCUGCUGCUCAAAUAAAAUGACAAUGAUGACACAUCGCAUAAUAAUACUAGUAGAUGAUUUCUUAUACAUUUAACAUGCUCCCAAGAAGGCAGAGAGAGUACAUGAUUCUAGUUUUACAGUAUCAGUAGCUCUAGGUACUAGGGUAGAGUUAAAACUUAAGGUAGUAGUACUCCAUCAUACUAUGCAGAUUACAACGCUGCAAUCACAGAAAACCCUCAAAGGCAAAAAGAGACUCCGGAUGAACAGAGAUCUGUAGUCUGUACCAUAGCCAUGGCAUCCAUCUCUGAAGAGACAAGGAACCACUUGCAGUUGCAGCAGCGAUGCAACUUGGAAAUGCUCUAGUAUUAGUUCUAUACUAUCAUCAUGCGCACGUAGCGUCUGCGUCUAGUAGCCGUAUCGUAUCGUAUCUACAAGUGUACGUGGUGCAUCUGCGUCUGUGCGUGCUCAGACGUCGUCGGACCAGUCCUGCAUCUGGUCGUCGGAGAAGAGCACGUCCACGACGUUGUCGAUGAGCCCGUCCACGAAGGAGUUGCAGCCGAGGGUGAGCAUCUGCCCGAUCCGGCCGCGCGCGCUGGACACCCACGCGAACGUGGCCGCCGAGGCCACCACGGCCAGGCACAGCCCCGUCGCCUCCUCGAUCUGCACCGUGUCCAGCUUCUUGAACAGCGAGUCCCCCGUCGUCGCCUCCACCGCCACCGCCGCCGCGAACGCCACCUGCACGCGUCGUUUAGUCACCUGUGGUGUCCAAACAGAGCUCGGUC
rnacentral:lncRNA from 1 species